GAUGGGAGGGCAUGCUGAUAUGUCCUCUGCAUUAUCAACUUCUUGAGCGGCAACGCCUCUAUCUUGAAGUUGAAACGUUUAAUCAUCUUUAGUUGUGUGCAGUCAAGUAGGGAACAAAAUAAAUAAGUUGGAGACUUACCAUGUACCUGUGGUUUCAGUAGCCAAUUUCCAUAAAAAUCGUAGCUUAACAGCCAUUUCGUAUAUGCACACUUCAGCUCAAUCGUGGUAACUUUGCCCCCUCCCCCGUUUUGGGUGAAGUUGUGCUGUAAUAUGUUGGUCGAUCACUGUGGAUAUUGAAUGAUAAGCUAUUCAAGCAAUUUCCUAAAUGAGCCGUUCAUAUAUAUCAAAUCUGUAACUUUAGCCUUUUUAGAUCCCCAUGUGUGUACUCUCAUGUGCAAUAUAUAUUGAACCAUUAAUUCAGGCUGAUGCCAAAUUUCAGCAGCAUUGGUCGCAGUGAGAUAUGCACUGCGCCCAGCUUCAGACAUAGCUGCUGCAAUAACCGCUCUGCGGUCACAGGAUUCUGGUAGUCCAAAGACUCAUCCUCAUGAAACUCAUCUCCCACCAUUAUUUUCCUUGUUACCAAAAAAUAUAGUCUCAUUAUUGGAAGCAAUAUAAAGUCUACGUUCACUUCACUUUCUUAGGUUCAUUUGUGGAAUUACACCGAGUAGGUAUGUUUGUGUUGUUGUUACUUGAUUCCUUUGUUAUUAUACCAAGCUUGUGCAAAUCCACGUAUCAAUAGUGACAAAAUGACCACUUCUAGUGCUGCAAAAGAAUCAAUCAUAUACAGACAGAGAAUGAAGGUGGCUAAACUUGUAAGUACUAAGCUUAUAUGACACUAUUAAAAGAAUAUCUUUUUUUUGUAUUUUGGAAACUAAUUUUAGUUUAAAUUAUCUAUUUUAUCCUAAAAAAAAUACUUUUUAUAAUCAACAAUCUUUCAUGAUAUAUUUUGAGAUCAAUCCAAAUAAAUAGUUAGUGACAAAUAGAAAAUAGUUGUAUUACUUUCAUCUCUGGUCAUUUGAUUCUCCGCCAAACCCACCAUUUGUUGGAAUUUUGAAAGCAUCGUGUGCAUUAAGAAUCUUUGAAUUCAAACAUAUAGUACACUAUACAUUUGCUAGUACGGAUAAACACAGGUUGGAUUUAGAAUUUUAUAAUUUAUCGAUAAUGGGUUAUCGAUUUAGUGGUUUUAGUAAAAGUAUACUUUUUUUUUAUUAUCGGAUUAUUGAUUCUUAAUGGUAUGAAAUUUUUCCUUAACGGAUCAAUCAAUAUAUUAUUCGGUAUAUAAAGUACUUGAUUUGCUUUUGUAGUUUUGCAAAAGAUGCAAUCUAUUAACACGCGUGCAUGGUUUAUUUGGCUUUGUCAUCUUAUUUCUAAGUGAUUUUUAAUGAUAUUUUUUUAUGUCAAAUCUUAACAGUUAACUCAAUAACUGAACAAUAAAUUCACUGUAAAUUAAUAUCUUAAUAAUUCUGUAACGAUUUAGCAUAUUACAAAUUGAUCAAUAAGUUAAACCGAUAAAUUUCAAAAUUAUAAUGAUUUAGCGUAUUAUAAAUUAAUAACCGAUAAGUUCAUUUGAUGAAUCGAUCAAUACGCAAUCCUAAUUAUAAUAGUGACAAAUAGAAAUGGUAGAAAAUAGUUGGUCAUUUGAUUCUCCCACAAGCACACCAUUUGUUGGAAUUUUGAAAGCAUUGUGUUAUCUCAAUAAUCCUGCUGGCGUUCUCAGCAGCAAGUGAUCUUGUCAAUGAAGAAUCCUCUUCUUUUUUUUCUUUUUCUUUUUUUAGUGAAUUAAGAAUCUUUGAAUUCAACCAUAUACACCAUAGAUUUGCUAGUUAUUUUGAAUUUUAAGAUUUAUCGAUAAUGGAUUAUUAAUUUAGUUGUUUUAGUAAUAGUUUUGAAUUUUUUUUAUUAUUGAGUUAUUGAUUUUUAAUAGUUUGAAGUUUUUUCUUUAACAAAUUUAUCGAUAUAUAUUUAUAUAAUUUUACUUAUAAAGUACUUAACUUAGAGCUUAGUUUCAUAUUUAAUUUCCAGAUGUCUCAAACUCACAGUUAUAUUGGAGCGCGUCAGUGUUUGUUUUUGCAGUCUCAAGAUGCAAUCUAUUUACUCAUGUACAUGGUUCAUUUGGUUUUUCAUCUUAUUUCUAAGUGACUUUUAAUGAUAAUUUCUCAAAAUAUUAAUGGUUAAACCAAUAACCGAACCGAUAUUUUAAUAGUUCUAUAACAACUUUAACAUGUUAACGAAUCAAUAACUCAUAAAUCAAACUGAUAAGCUUUUAAAUCAAACCAAAUUGAUUAAUAUGCAACACUAUUUAUAACGACUAAAACAUCUGAUAGAUUCAGAAUUUAAAGUUACUAGAUUAAAAAGGCGCGGGAUUAGAUUUAUACCUUCCUCGGGUAGGGUGAUUUUGGAGUGGUGAGGGAAUAAAGGCAUUAAUUGGCAUCCUUCUAGAUUGAUCUUAGCGCGGUAAACGCGGUUAGACUUUAUCACUACCAAUUCGAGAAUCAAAUACCUAAAAAAACUUUAAAAUGAAGUCAAUAUAUACAAUAUACACUUUCUCACAAUUAGUUGUGUGAUUCUCAUAAUAAUAAUAAUAAUAAUAAUAAUAAUAAUAAUAAUAAUUAUUAUUAUUAUUAUUAUAAUAAUAAUAACCUGACUUCUAUCAUUUUUCUCGUGUGUAUUAGCCCAUGAAUCUGACGUCAUUGAGGACAUUCAAAUUUUAUUUUUUUAAAAAAAGAUUAUAUUAGGGCCAGAAGCAUUACGUAUAGUUUCCUCCGUUUUAAAAGUCCGCUAUCAAUUUCUACAAGUCCAUUUAUGUUUGGGAAACUUACAUAAAUAAACUAUCCUAAAAAAAAUAUUUAUCAUUUAUAACAAUAACAUUUUUUUCACUUGGUCACUUUUAAUUCAUUUACAGUACAAGUUGAAUAAAUAUUACAAAGAACAAUUUAUUAUUCAAAUAUAAAAUAUAAGUUUUAAUGAUGGAUAAUACAUUUAUCACACAUUUUAAUACACUUAUAAUACAAUGUGUCAAUUUUUUACCAAACAAACAUAAUAAUUUUCAAAAAACAAUUAUAAUACAUAUAUGUUGCAUACAUAAUUCACCUUUAAUACAUAGUACAGAUUUAACAUAAUAUUAUUUUAAAUAGUAAUAAAUAAAAAUUAUUGCUAAAAUCAAUAAUUAUUUAUUAAAAUGUAUCAAUUCAUCUAAUUUUUCCUUUGAGUUUUAUGAGUUAUAAGAUUUUAUAUGUACCAGUAUAUAUAUUUGCCAUAAAUCCAAAUUGGUCAUGCACAUGUUUUCUCCAGUUACAAGUUCCAUAAUAUGUAGAAAAUUUGCAUGACAUGCCUACUAAUCGCAAAAUAUACAUAAUUAAUUAAAAAAAACGUAUUGAAAACAUUUUUAAAUUUGAUAAUAUUAUUCGCUUUUCCUUGUUCCAAAACAUUUCAUUAUAUUUAUGCCUACUAGUUAGUACAUGUUAGAAUGUAUGCCUUCACUUAAGCAGUAUUGGACCAGGUCCCUUACUACACUAAUAAAUAAAACAGAAAGUUAAAUGCAGUAAAAUCAACACGAUGAUUUUACGUGGAAACCUCCUUGCUUAAGGGAGUAAAACCACGACCUGUCUCACAGGAUUUUCAAUCGUUUUUACUAAUCUUCAAAAGCAAAAGUAAAACACGAUUACACCAAAUGUAAGAAAGAGUUAUCAAUCUUAAUGUUAAGCAAUAGUUCCUCUUGCUUAACAAGCCUAAGUAGAAAACUAUCUACCCACUAAGUUAUCCCACUUGGACAACCUAGACUUUUAACACUACACAACAAUUCCUUUAUAGAUUAAGGAAUGAUUUACAGUUUACGAACAAGAGAAUGUAUUCCUAAACAACUAUACGAAAAGCUCCAGAGAUUGAUGUUGUUGUUGGAAUACUUCUGCCUUUGUUUUCUAGCAGCCUUUGCAAAUGUUCUUGAAGAGGUUUCUCUCAAGUUGAAAAAACUCCACAAAAUGUUUAGGAAAGUGCCUUUGAUAUGGUCAAGUCACUUUCCUACACUUCUUUGCCAUUGGCUGGAAAAGUCACACUUUCUGACGCCAUCGGGAAGUGUGCACCUACUUUAUGUACCGUCUCCAGCUCGCGGUCAACUGGCUCGUCAUCAUGAGAGCCUGGUACUUCUACUAGGUCCCUGGGUUUGUUUCAUCUGCACUACUCAAGUAAGAAACCUGCAAUACUCAAGUAAGAAACUGGUACCUUUAAAAGGUCCCUAAGUUUGUCAAAUCAUCAAAACUACAAAUAACAGUACGUAUUGGUACUAACGAACGUACACAAUCCUCUCUUUUUAUGCAAACCUUAUCUCAAACUUUUAGAAUCACUACCUACCAAACUAAUUAAAAAGGACUUUCAUGACUAAAGACACUUUUAUGUACUUAUAUAUAUAGUCACUUAGCUAAUUGAAACAUCGAUUCAUAACAAUUAAUUAAUAUUCGAGUUUUGAAUAUGAAGCAAGUAUCAAUGGAGAUGAAUAAAGGACCCUGGAGUUCCGAUGAAGACUCUAAACUCAUCCAUUCCAUCUCCAUAUUUGGACAAGGACGUUGGGAUUCACUUGCUCACGUUGCCGGUAUAGAUAUAUCAUGUUGUUAGAGAGAUCACAAGCAUACAGUGUAUAAUAUUUUGUUUCUAUUAUCAAAAAAUAAUUACGUAUAUAUUGAUAUAUAUAGGUUUAAAGCGUAGCUGUAAGAGUUGUAGACUAAGAUGGUUGAAUUAUUUGCGGCCAAAUUUACGACGAGGAAAAAUAACUCCUCAAGAGCAGGUCCUUAUUCUACUCCUUCAUUUUCGCUUCGGAAAUAGGUAAGUUAAGUACGUAUAAAAUAUGUCAUAUAAAUUGAAUAAAUGAAAUAAUUGUAUUUUAUAAAGGUUGAACACAUAUAUAGAUAGCAAUUAUUAUUAUUAUUAUUAUUAUUUAAUAUAUAAAAAAAGAUAGUGAUAUAGUCAAUGAUUUUUCAACCAUGGGAGAUAAGAUAUGGUAAUAAUUAUUUCAUUUUUUUUUCAAAAAUAAAAAAUCGAUGGUCAAAAAUAGCAGAGAAUUUGCCUGGGAGAAGUUAUAACGAUGUUAAAAAUUACUGGAGAACCAAAGUGCAAAAGCAUGCAAAAGAGCUUCAUUGCGAAAUCAAUAGUCAACAAUUUCGACACUUCCUUCUCUAUCAAUGGAUGCCUUCUCUGUUGGCUCAACAAAUACCGACUUCUUCUUCUUCUUCAUCUUAUUUCGAAUUAAUCGUGACGGGGAAUUAUUCUCCUAACAAUAUCAAUGCAUAUCUAAAUGUUAAUAUCAUUUCAUCAACAGAUUCAUUCUUAAGGGAAGAUGAUAGUAAUAUUUGGAACAACUUGUCUAGUUUUGAGGAUGGAAUUAAUAUUCCUCGUGAUUUUUCAACCCCUUCAUAUAUGAAACUUCAUAAUUAUUCAUCUCAUGAUGAGGAUGAUCAGUACUACUUUCACAAUUAUUGGACAAGUGCAGAAAUGCCAAGUUUGUAUGAAAUGGACCAUUGGCUCUGAUUACGAGUAUACGUGAAUCCAAUGAUGUCUUUAUACAAUAUAUAUAUAUAUAUAUAUAUAUAUAUAUAUAUAUAUAUAUAUAUAUAUAUAUAUAUAUAAAGAAUUUACAAAAUUAUCUAUAAAAUAUUUAAUUAGUGAACCCUAACUAGUUAAUUAGUUAUCAUUGUAUUGUAAUAUUUACUUGAAAUCAUUAUCAAAACUCAUCGUAUGAAUUUUCUCUCACCUCUAUUAUAAUGUAUAUAUAUGCAUGCACACCCAUCGCGUCAACAUUUUUCCAUGCAUGUACGUACUAUAGAAUUAAAACGAACCUUUGUUUCAUUGCCUCACUUUUAAUUUAAGAUGAUUAUAUGAUUUAAAAAUCUAUUUUUAUCCCUAAUUAAGUUAAGUGUCAAAUUAAACUAAAAACAUUUGAAUUAGGAUGGAGGAAUUAUAAAAUAGCAACUUUCCUCACUACAAGCUCGAUAUAAGAAACUACUUCGAUCGUUCCUUUUUAGUAGUCAUUAUAAGGUUUGACACAAUGUUGAGAAAAAAAUUAAUAAAAAGUGUUUUUUGAUGAAUACAUUUCUUAUUAGUUCUUUAAUAUAUAUAUAUAUAUAUAUAUAUAUAUAUAUAUAUAUAUAUAUAUAUAUAUGCCUCUUGAUUCUAAAAUUAUAAACUUUAAGGAUAAAGUUGAAAAAAGAUAAUUAACAUCUUUUGAUUAUUUAAAUGACAACUACUUUUGGUAACAGCUAAAAGGAACAAAUGAAGUAUAAUAUAGAAUAAUAACCUAUAAGAUAAUAUGAAUUUCUUCGUUACCAUUCAUAUGACAUUCUUAUUAAAAGUAGAUGUUCUUCAAUACUUAUUAUUUCAUAAAAAUCAAUAAUGACAUACAGUUUCUUAUUUUACCCUUAGGAGUUAUUAGUUUAAAGAUAUGAAUUUGACCAAACAUAGGAAAACUAAAUAAUUAAUUUAUGUUCACGUCAAUUUAACUAAUCAAAAUAUAUUAAUUUAUAUUUAUUUAUUGAAAAAAUGAUUUCAAGAUAACUAGAGUCGUCAAAAUGAGCUUAACUCAUGGGGCCCACCCUACCCAACCCGUUAUUGGGGUAGAAUUGAGAUAGGAUUUUGAAACUCAUUUAAAACUAGUGCUUAUAAGCCCGAUCCAUAUAAAUUCUUGAUCAUUGAUGCUUGACCGGGAAGAGGUCAAGGUCAGCUCAUGUACCAAAACUAUUUAUUUAAGGGUAACUUACAAAAAUCUCUCUAGUGUAUGAGUUAAUUACUUAAAGACACACUAUGUUGUAAUAAUGUGAAUCUUAUGAAAUUUGGAUACGUCCAGAUACAUGUACUCAAAAUUAUGUUAAUUUUUUCUAGAUACAUUCUAUCUAUGUGAAUAUUAUGUAUUUAAAAUAUAUAGACAAAUCUCUCGGCCCUUUUAAGGUUUAGCUGAGUUGAAUAUUCUUAUGUCCUUCUAAUUAAAAGAUCGGCCUGUCCUAGCCCAUUAAAUUAUCUGGCCCGCAAAGCUUGGGCCGAAUGGAUUGGGCCAACUAUUUUUGACAACUUAGCUCUAAAAAUAACACUAAAUAAGAGUUAAGUAAACUUACCUAGUUUAUAAGAAUGUAAAACCUAAAAUAGUGACAUAUAAAUAGAAACUAAAAGGGCUAGUCAGGUAGCUACUACAUGAGUGCUGCUCACCUUUGCUCUUGGCCGCCAAAUUUGUACCCUCAACAGCUUCAUCGGAGGCGGAAACCGAAGCUCUUCUAUCAAAGCCCUCACUUGACAAACGUCGUAUCACAAAAUUCCCUUAUCGAUGGUUACUUCAAACACAGUCACAUCCAACAAGCAGAAUACCUGUUCGAUCAAAUGCCUCAUAGAGAUGUCAUUUUUUGGAACACAAAUGCUCUCUCUGGGUAGCGCAACGCCAACAAGCCGGAGAAAGUAUACAACAGAUGUGGAGAAAUGAACAGAUGUGGAGAAAUAAGACCAAUGAGCUCACUUUCACGGUAUGUGUUAGCUCCUUCUUGCAUUUUUUAUUACAAACAUUUGAUCCCUCAGCUUCAUUGUCUCGUGCUCUGUUUGGGGAUAAGUCUCAAUUUAUUUGAUGAGGGGUUAUGUUGAUUUGGAUGAUUACAGGGGUUUAGGUCGAGUUUUUGAUGAAAUUUUGGACAAAGAUGUUAUGUUGUUGAAUGUUAUAUGAAGUUUGGGUGCACAAGUGUGGUACAAGAGCUUUUGGUCAAGGCAGAGCAAGGUGGGGUUCGUGGGUUUGUUUGAAUUUGUUUGAACCCAGUAGUUUUUCGAUAGUCUUAAUCCUGGCUUUGCCUAAGAACAAGAAGCUUAAUGAAGCUCGAUUCAUUUUUGAUGAUAUGAGUGAGAAACAUGUGGUUUCUUGGAUAGCAAUGAUAAGAGGGUAUGUGUAAUAUGGAGAGUUAUGAAGACUUUGAAAUUGUUUAAGUUGAUAUUGAACUUGAGUUCUCAUCAUAAUCAUUUUACAUAUUCAACUGUUUUAGAUGCAUGUGCAGGUUACUCUGCUGUUUUGGUAGGCAAUCAAGUUCAUGUGCAUCUUGACGUAGUCUUGUUGACCUCCCUUGUUGACAUGUAUGCUAAAUGUGCAGAAACAAAAGUUGCUUCCUGCAUUUUUGAGUCCAUCCCUUCAAGAAAUUCGAUCAUUGGAGAUUAUGCAAACAUGGGCUUGCAGAGAAGGCAAUGCAAGAGUUUGAGAGGAUGCUGAAGAGUGGUAUCAGGUCUUGGGAUAUUGCUAGCAUCAUAUGGUUUGCACUCAUGUCUAGAACUCGGAGAGAUUGCAGCAAAUGGUAUCUACACAUUGGAGCACAACCAUCCUGCAGUAUACUUAGGUGCUUUCAAAAAUCCACGGAGACAAAGGAGUGUGCAGUGACAUAACUAGUUUCGAACUUUGGAUAACUUGAUGAAGAAAUGGCGUGCUACAAAGCAGAAGGCUGGUAGAAUGUCUGUCUACUAUGAGGCAAGUGGUUUUCUACAUAACACUUUCCUUAUGAAAUUAUUAAAAAUCUAUACAUUUUUAAGUUUUUCCUUUUUAGUAUCUUAAUUUUUAUGCCCAAUAGAACAUAAACUUUUAGAAACCAAAUCAUAUGGGAUAUAGCAUGUAAGUUCUUGUGCCAAAAAACUUUUAUCAAAUUUGAUCAUUUUUCUCUUAUAAAUAUACCUUUAACUGUCAAGGUUUUGAAUUGAAUUUAAAAGAUUCGAUAUUCUAUUUAUUUGUUUGAAUUUGAAUCAUGAUAGUUCAUAGAUACACUCACUUCAUUAGUUGUUGAUUUACAUUAUUUGAUGCUCAUUAAGAAUUAUUACUAUAUUGAUAUGUAGUCAAGAGUUAUUUAUCAUCAGACAUGAGGUCGAUCAGAAUUGCAAUUUUUGGAAAUAUUUUUUCUUUUAUUACUACUGUAUAUAAGGAAAAAUAUCUAAUUUUGUAGUUUGCACAUUAUUUUUCUUGUCUCUUUUAUUCAGAUUGAAAUUUGUAAGAUCAUACAUAUUUGAUAAAUUUUAAAAACUUUAAGGAAUUUUUAUAUGCUACUCAAAAUGAUGUUGUCAUGAAAAGGAUUAUACAAUCCUACAAAGUGUAUUCAUAUAUUGAGAUUACUUAACUUGUUACAAAUAAUAUUUUACUUUAAGACAUUAUUGUAAGCAUAAAUUUAAUGCACAUUAGGAUCUUAGACUAUAAUUUACUCAUAGGCAUUAUACAAACAUGUCUGAAUACAUUAUUGUGGAAAGUGAUUUUUACAAUAAUGUCUUUAGGUAUGUUUCUAUAAUGCCUCUCAGUAAAUUAUUUUGUCUAAAAUACUGACAUGCAUUAGGUUAUUGCUUACAAUAUAUAAUAUCUUAAGACAAAAUAUUAUUUGUAACAAAUUUAAUAAUAUUUUCAUAUAAAUUGAAGACUUAAUAUAUGAAUGUACUUUGUAGGAUCAUUGUAAACUUUUUCAUGAAAACAUAAUUUCUAGUAGCAUACAAUUUCUUUUAAAGUUCUUAAAAUUUAUUAGAUAUUCUAGGUCUUACUGAUUUCUUUUUGAAUAAAAGGACAAGAUAUUUAAUGUUUAGACUACAAAAGUGGUGUCUUCCUUGUAUAUAGGAGUAGUAAUAAGAGAAAAAUUAUUUCCAAAAAGUAGCAAUCCCGAUUCAUGCAUGAUAAUAAAUCACUUGUGAUUAUAUAAUUUUUUUAAUGAGUAUCAAACAAUGUGAUUUAGCAACUAAUGAACUGAAUUUGUCUAAAUUGAAUAUCUAACUUUUUUUAAAUUUACUAAAAGCUUUGACAACUAAAGUUAUACUUAUAAAAGCAAAAAUGGUCAAAUUUUAUUUUUUUACAAUGGUAAAAGAUCAAUUUAUCCUGAGUUAUACUAUAAUUUAAGAUUAUUCUAUCAUUAUCUAAAUAAUUCAAAUAUAUUUUGGUAGAACUAUCUAAAUAGUAGGGUUUACAAAAGACUCAUAAUUUACUCCUUUGCUCAAUAGAUGAGUCAUUCGAUUCCUCUCCCAGUUGCAUUUAAGAUCUGCACUACACAAGAAUACUAGAAGAAUGCAUAUUGACUUCUAAUGAGUCGAGAUUGAUUUCAACAGGGGGAAAGAUUGUAUUGAAUAGCUAGCCAUGAGCCUUGUAGGGCUUUGAGCUCUUCCAUUAUGGGCCUUGACAUUGAAUCCAGGGGCCAAUCCCCUCUAUGAUUUCUAAUAAUGCCAUUGAUUUCUUCAAUACUAGAGCUGAACUUGACAGAACCAUCAGUGUUAAGCAUGUAAGUCUCAAGAGGAGCAGAGUUCCAAUUGACUAAGAUUGUAUAUGGUUGUCCUUUAGGUAUGGAUAUUUGGUCGAUGAGAAGAUGGUACUCAAUGACUUAGAGGUUUCCUUUUCAUUUUGUUUAAUAAGUUUUUAUUCCUUUAAAACCAAAUAUUCCAAAAAAAGAAAAAGAAAAGAAAAAGCAUGAAAUUCCAAGAGAGCAUAACAUUAUAGGGUUCCUUUGGUUCCUAUUUUUAGAGACUGAUGGACUUUUGCAGGCAUUUUGAUGUACUAUAUAAUGUGAAAGGGGAUAUGCUUCCUAGAGAAACCCUAGCUAGCAUAGUUCUGCUAUCCAUGUUGAGGAACUUGUUUUGUUGUUCAUAUUGUCAAUAAUUUGUUGGGAGUCACUAUUGUCAGCCUUCAUUUGGAAAUAUGUUUCCUUAUAUUUUACUAUAUAAGGAAGGAAAUUCAAUUCUAUAGUCCACUCAUGAAUUUUUUUGUUCUUUUUUAUUCAAAUUGAAAUUUGUAAAACCUUGCAUAUUAAAUAGAUUAUACACUACUAAAAAUGAUAUUGUCAUGAAAAAAUUUUCUAAUGAUCCUACGAAGUACAUUCAUGUAUAGUGUUUUUAGUUUAAAAUGAAAAUAUUACUUAACUUGUUUCAAAUAAUGUUUACCUCAAGACUUUAUCACAAGUAUAAACUUAAAAGCACAUCAUCAUCUUAGACAAGAUAAUUUGCUGAGAGGCGUUAUAGAUAUAUACAUCAAGAUAUUAUCUUGGAGAGUGACUUCUAUGCCUCCUUCUCGUAGUGGUAAUCACAAUUAUCGGCGGCGAAAAAUUGUUGAGAAUUAUACAAUAACCAUAGUGAGUGGAAGAAGAACCAAUCUAUAAAAGAAAUAAUUAAUACAUCAAUAUGCCUUUUAACUUAACCUCAACUCAUAUUUAUGCACUCUAACUUUGGAUGUGCACAAGUAAACAUUUAAAUUUGUAUAAAGUUGAACAAGUACGAGUUCUACAUGACACAAUACAUGUAGAAAAAAUAUGUCUAUUUGUUCAGCUUUAUUGAAGUUUAAGUAUUUACUUGUACAUAAGUAAAGUUUGUGGGUAUAAAUUUCAGUUGAGACCAAAUUAAAAGACAUAUUUAUUUAUCGACAACGCCUUUAUACAUUGGUCCUCCUUCAACUCACUAGGGUUAUCAUAUAAUUCUCUACACUAUUUUUUGCCGCCGACAAUUGUGAUAACAUAAGACUAGGACAAGGAGGUGUAAAAAUAACUGUCCACGAUAAUAUCUUCAGGCAAUCUAUAACGUCUCUCAAUAAAUUAUAUUUUCUAAGAUCUUGACGUGCAUUUUAAAUUUGUGCUUACAAUAAAGUUUAUCUUGGCGUUAGAUGUUUUAACUUUUAAGUUUUGACCAAAAUUUGGAAUUGCCUAACAUUUUUUGCAUACUUGCUCAUAUGAGAAUUUCGUCAGCGUAGUUGGCUUUGGAAGGUAAUCUUUUACCAAAUAGGAUGGUUAGUUUAGGUUUUGAGGCUUCCAUUUUUAGUUUGUGUUGUUAGGCGUUUUAACUUUUAAGUUUUUGCCAUAGACGUCAGAAUUCUGGAUCACCAAAAAAGAUCAUGGACUAUAGCAAAUGAAAAUCAACAAAAUUAGGGAUUUAUUUGUUUUGAGACUAGUUUUACCUUAAAAAUGAGCCAUUUUCCGUCAUGUCCAAAUAACUCCAUUGAUUACGUCUUAGCGGACAUGCACAAAAAAUUGGGCAAAAAAGAUGUCGAAAUUCAGGAUCACCAAAAUUUAAUGAACAAUUGUACAAGAAAAUUGUCAAAAGGGGUUUACCUGCUUUGGGGCUCGUUUGACCUUGAAAAUGAGUUGCUUUGGCCAUCAGAGCCAACUGACUCUAUAGCUAACGUCUUAACAGACAUCCACAAAAAACUUGAGCAGAAAAAACGUUAGAAUUCUAUAACACACAUAUGUCGGCAAAUUUGAGCAAAAAAAACGUCAGAAUUCUGGAUCAUUGAAGAUCCAUGGACUAUAACAUACGAAAAUUGGCAAAUUGGGUGGUUUACCAAAUGCGAGACUCGUUGACCUUUAUAAUGGGCCGUUUUAGCCGUCAGGACCAACUAGCUCCAUACCUAACGUCUUAACAAACGUCCACAAAAAAUUUGCACAAAAAAGCCGUAUAAAUUCUGUAUCACCAAAAAACACCAUGGUCUGUAGCAAAAGAAAAUAGACAAAUAAGGGGUUCACGUGUUCCAGGGAUCGUUUGACUUUCAAAAUGAGUCAUUUUGGGCGUUAGAGUCAAAAGACUGAAUAGAUAAAAUUUUAACGGACAUUCACAAAAAUUUUGAGAAAAAAAGCCGUCGAAAUUUGUAAUCAUAAAAAAUUCAUCGACUAUAGAAAUGAAAAUCGACAUAGCUAACUGGCUCCCCCAUGUUUUGGUCGAAUAGAAGAGAGGCCCCCUAUGUUUUGAUCGUCAAGGUCAACUGAUUCCAUAACUAACGUCUUAAUAGACGUCCACAAAAAAUAUGGGCAAAAAAGACGUCGAAAUUCUAGAACACAAAAAAUUAAUGGACUAUAGUACACAAAAAUCAGCAAAAUUGGGGGUUUAUAUUUUCUAAUGCUUGUUUGACCUUCAAAAUAAGUCAUUUUGGCCGUCAGGGCCAAUUGAAUCCAUAGCUAACGUCUUAACAAACGUCCAAAAAAUAUUUGGGGAAAAAAUUAUCAAAAUUCUAAAUCACCAAAAUAGAUCGUGGACUAUAGCCCAUGAAUUUUUUUGAUACGAAAAUAAAGAAACAAAAUGACCAAUUUUUUAUGGACGUUUGUCAAGACCUUUGAAAUGGAACCAGUUCGUCUCGCAGGUAAAACUGGUGCAUUUUUAAGUUCAAACGAGCCCUAAGCAGACAAAGACAGAUUUUAUUGAUUUUCGUGUGCUAUAUCUUACAGAUUUUUUUUAUCUAUAAAUCCCAAAAUAAAAUGACUGAAAUUUUACAUGGACGUUUGUCAAGACAUUAGAAAUGAAACAAGUUCAUCUAGCGAAGAAAAAAGGUACAUUUUCAAGUUCAAACGAGCCCAAAGAAGGCAAAGACAAAUUUUAACGAAUUUCUUGUCCUAUAGUAUAUAGAUUUUUUCAUCUGGAAAUACCGAAAUAAAAUGAAUGAAAUUUUUCAUGGAAGUCUAUAAAAAAUUUAGAAAUGGAACCAUUUAGUAACGCGGGGAAUAUGGUGUAUUUUCAAGUUUAAACGAGACCCAAAAUAGACAAAUACAUUUUUAUCAAUUUUCGUGUGAUAUAGCCAAUUGAUUUUUUUCUUUGGAAAUCUCAAAACAAAAUUGUCAAAAAAUUUCAUGGACGUCCAUUAAGACUUUAGAAAUGGAACCAGUUCUCUCGGCUGGAAAAAUGGUGCAUUUUCAUAUUCAAACGAGCCACAAAGCAGGCAAAGAUGGAUUUUACUGAUUUUCAUGUGAUAUAUAUCCCAUGAAUAUUUUUUUUAUUCGGAAAUCCCAAAAUAAAAUGACCAAAAUUUUACAUGGACAUUUUUUCAAGACCUUAGAAAUGGAACAAGUUCGUCUAGCGGAGAAAAAUGGUGCAUUUUCAAGUUUAAGCGAGCCUAAAGCAGGCAAAGACUUAUUUUAACGAUUUUUCUGUGCUAUAGCAUAUAGAUUUUUUUUAAUACAGAAAUCACGAAAUAAAAUGACCGAAUUAUUUCAUGGAUGUCUGGUAAGACCUUAGAAAGGAAUUAGUUAGUACUCCGGGAAAAAAUGGUGUAUUUUCAAGUUCAAAAGAGUCUCAGAGCAGGUAAAGGCAAAAUUUACCAAUUUUCGCGUGCUAUAGCCAAUUGAUUUUUUUUCUUCGGAAAUCCCUAAACAAAAUUGACAAAAAUUUUCACGGACGUUUGUUAAGACCUUAGAAAUGGAACAGUUCUCGCUGGAAAAAAUGGUGCAUUUUCAAGUUCAAAUGAGUCUCAAAGUACACAAAGACAGAUUUUACUAAUUUUUUUUUGUAUAUAGCCCAUGAUUUUUUUAAUUUGAAAAUCCUGAAACAAAAUGACCGAAAAUUUUUAUCAACGUUUGUUAAGACCUUAGAAAUCAAACGAGUUCCUUCUAGGAGAAAAUGGUGUAUUUUCAAGUUCAAACAAGCCCAAUGCAGGCAAAGACAGGUUUUUCCAAUUUUCAUGUUCUAUACAAAAUGAACUUUUUUAGAUCUGGAAAUUUCAAAAAAAUGACCAAAAUUUUUCACGGAUGUCUCUUAAGACCUUAGAAAUGGAACCAGUUCAUUACACAGAGAAAAAUGGUGCAUUUUGAAGUUCAAACGAUCCCCAAAGCAGACAAAGAUAAAUUUUAUCAUCUUUCACAUGUUAUAGCCCAUGCAUUUUUUUUGAUUCGUAAAUCCCAAAAAAAUGGCUGAAAUUUUAUAUGGACGUCUGUUAAGACCUUAGAAAUAGAACUACUUCGUUCUGCGGGGAAAAAUAUUAUAUUUUCAAGCAAAAGAGCCAAAAUAGACAAAAAUAGAUUUUACUGAUUUUUGUUUGCUAUUGUCCACAAAUUCUUUUUAUUCGUAAGUCCCGAGAUAAAAGGUCUAGAAUUUUUCAAGGACGUUCGUUAAGAAUAUAAAAAUGGAACAAAUUCAUUGCGCGGGAAAAAUGGUUCAUUUUAAAGCUAAACGAGCCCAUAAGAUGACAAAAAUAGAUUUUAUCGUUUUUCGUGUGCUAUAGAAUAUGAAUUUUUUUAACUAAAAAUUGCCAAAAAAAAGGACAAAAUUUUUCAUGGAUGUCCGUUUAGACCUUAGAAAUGAAACCAGUUGUUCCGCGGGAAAAAAUGGUCCAUUUUUAAGAUCAAAGGUAGUUUUGACUAAUUUUCGUGUACUAUAGUGCAAAGAUUUUUUUUUAUCUGAAAAUCCCGAAAUAAAAUGACCAAAAUUUUUCAUGGACGUCCAUUUUUACCUUAGAAAUCGAACUAGCUAAUCUCACGGGAAUAAAUGGAGAAUUUCCAAGUUGAAACAAGCUCCAAAGCAAGAAAAGAUAGAUUUUUCCGAUUUUCGUGUGCAACCCAUGAAUUUUAUUUCCUAGAAAUCCUGAAAGAAAAUGGUUAAAAAAUUUCAUGUAUGUCCGUAAACACCUUAGAAAUGAAACAAGUUCAUCCCACGGGAAAAAAUAUUUCAUUUUCAAGUUCAAACGAGCUUUAAAAAUAGGGAAAGACACAUUUUAACGAUUUUCUAUGCUUUAGCCAAUGAAUUUUUAUUGAUUGGAAAAUCCUGAAACAAAAUGACUAAAAUUUUUCAUAGACGUUCUUUAAGACCUGAGAAAUUGAACAAGCUUGUUUUGCACGAAAAACUGGUUCAUUUUCAAGUUCAAACGAGUAUCAAAGAAGAAAAAGACAGAUUUAACCAAUUUUCGUGUGUUAUGGCCCAUGAAUUUCUUUUAUUUAUAUAACUAGAGAAAAAAAUGAUCAAAUUUUUCAUGGACGUCCGUUAGGACCUUAGAAAUAGAAAAAGUUCGUCCCGCCGAGAAAAAUAAGACAUUUUCAAGUUCAAACGAGCUUCAAACCAUGUAAAGAUACAAAUUUUAUCAAUUUUCGUGUGGUAUAGCACAAUGCUUUUUUUAUCUGAAAAUGUAAAAAAAAUGGCCAAAUUUUUUCAAGAGCGUCUUUUAAGACCCUAAAAAUAGUUCAUUUUCACGUUUAAACGAGUCUCAAAGCAGGCUAAGACAAAUUUUAUCGAUUUUCUUUUGCUAUAGUCGAUAAAUUUUUUAAUCUAAAAAUCUUAAAACAUAAUGACUGAAAUUAAUCAUGGAAGUCCUUUAAGAUCUUAGAAAUGGAACCAGUUCGUUCCGUGGGGAAAAUGGUGCAUUUUCAUGUUAAAACGAACCGCAAGCAGAUUCAGCCAAAUUUUACCGAUUUUCUUUUGUUAUAACUCUUUGACUUAUUUUUUAUCUGGAAAUCCAAAAAUAGAAUGACCAAAAUUAUUUAUGGACGACCAUUAACAUCUUAGAAAUGGAACUAGUUCAUUUCGAGGGUAAAAUUGUGCAUUUUCAUGUUCAAAUGUCCCCAAUGAAGGAAAAACAGAUUUUAUCAAUUUUUGUGUGCUAAAACACAUGAAAUUUUUUUAUCCAGAAAUUACAAAGCAAAAUGGCCGAAAUUUUACAUGGACGUGUGUUUAAGACCUUAGAAGUGGAACCAGUUUGUCCCAUGGGGAAAAUUAUGCAUACAAGUUCAAGUUAGUCUUAAAAUAGGCAAAGAUAGAUUUUAUCGAUUUAAAUAUGCUAUAGCCAAUGAAUUUCUUUUAUCCAGAUAUCCUAAAAUAAAAUGACCGAAUUUUUUCAUGUACGUCCGUUAUGACCUUAGAAAUUAAAUCAGUUUGUCGCGCGGAGAAGAAUUGUGUAUUUUUAAAUUCAAACGAGCCCCAAAGAAGACAAAGACAGAUUUUACCGAUCAUCGUAUUAUAUAGACCAUGAUAUUUUUUAUCCGGAAAUUUAAAAAUGAAAUAGCCAAAAAAUGUCAUGGACGUUCAUUAAGACCUUAGAAAUGGAAUCAAUUUGAAAGUUUAAAAGAUCUCCAAAUCAAGCAAAGAUAGAUAUUAUCAAUUUUUGUGUGCUAUUAGCAAAUGAUUUUUUUUAGAUCUGGAAUUCCCGGAACAAAAUCACCAAAAUAUUUCAUGGACGUCUGUUAAGACCUUAGAGAUUGAAACCGUUUAUCGCGCAGGGAAAAAUGGUGCAUUUUCAAGUUCAAACGAGUCCCAAAGCAGGCAAAGUCAUAUUUUAUCGAUUUUGAUGUGCUAUUAUCCAUGAAUUUUUUUAUCUUGAAAUGCCGAAACAAAAAUUAUCGUAAUUUUUCCUCGACUUCUGUUAACACCUAAGAAAUGGUAUAGGUUCAUCGCGCGAGAAAACAUGGUGCAUUAUUCAGGUUCAAACGAGCCCUAAAACAGACAAUGACAUAUUUUACCGAUUUUCAUAUGCUAUAGCCAUUGGAUUUCUUGAUUUGAAUCUUCUAAAAAAAUGACAUAAAGUUUUAAAUAGACUUCCGUUAAGACAUUAAAAAUGGAAUCACUUUGUACGAUAGGUAAAUAUGGUGACGAGCCUGAAAGAAGGUAAAGACGAAUUUUACCGAUUUUCGUGUGCAAUUGUCAAUAGAUUUUUUUAUCCGGAAAUCCAGAAACAAAAUGACCUAAGUUUUUCAUGGACGUCCCUUCAUACCUUAGAAAAGAAACUAAUUUUCCGCGCGGGAAAAAAUAGUGCAUUUUGAAGUUCAAAUGAGACUCAAAGAUGACAAUGACAGAUUUUACUAAUUUUUAUUAGAGCCGUCAAUAUGGGCUAAGCCCGUUGAGCCGGCCUGGCUUAACCAAUGAUUUAAUAGGGCCGGGCUAAGAUUUUUGGAUUCCAAUUAAAAAAGGGCUUUUUAGCCCGGCCUGAAUAAGUCUGCUCAUUUGGGGGGCUUGAGAAAUAUCGGUAGGGGCAGCCUGUGGGCCAAUAAAAUUAAUUAAAAAAUAUAAUACAAUAUCAAAAUUUAAAAAUAAAGAGAGUCCAAAAUCAAAACAAUUAGGUUAAUAUUUCUAUUUAAAUAUUUAUACUUUUAGUUCAAAUUGUUUUAAUAAAUAUCAAGGAAAAUGCACAAGUACUCCCUAGACUAUGACCAAAAUCGCAGAGACACACCGUUACUAAACUAAGGUCCUAUUACCCCCUGAUUUUUUUUUUGUAAUUUUAUACACCUUUUGUCUUAUCUGGCACUCUAUGUGACUCCACGCAAUUGAGUCGCGUCGGAGAUAUUUGGAUGGCACGUAAGCCAAAGAGGUACACAAAAUUACCAAAAAAAAAGUUCAGGGGGGUAAUACAACCUUAGUGAGGUGUGUCUUUGGGAUUUUGGUCAUAGUCUUGGGGGUACUUGUGCAUUUUCCCCCUAAAUAUUAUAAAGAUAAUUUUAUUUUUGAAUUUGAUUAACAAGUAGUGACAUUAAGUUCUAAUUUGUUUCUAUUAAGAUUAAAAUGUCUGAAUUUUAAUACGCAUUUAAAUAUUAAGAUGUGCAUUAAGAUAUAUAUGUGUAAAUCUGAAUAAACAUCUGAAUAUUAAAAUAUUGUCUUUAAAUCUGAACACUAAAUUAUUGGGACAGUUUGUUUUCAAUAUAUGAAUGCACAUAUGAAAUUAAAUGUUAUAUCAAUAAAUAUUGGGAUAAUGCCCAAGUACCCCCUGAACCUAUGCCCGAAAUCUCAGAGACACACUUAUACUAUACUAAGGUCCUAUUACCCCCCUGAACUUAUUUUAUUAAUAAUUUUUUACCCCUUUUUAGCUUAUGUGGCACUAUCUUGUGGGCCCAACGAUGGUUGACUUUUUUUUUCGAACUAGUGCCACGUAGGCUAAAAGGGGGUAGAAAAAUACAUAUAAAAUAAGUUCAGGGGGGUAAUAGGACCUUAGUAUAGUAUAAGUGUGUCUCUGAGAUUUCGGGUAUAGGUUGAGGAGGUACUUGGGUAUUUUCCCAUAAAUAUUAUCAAAACCUUGUUAGUAAAAUGGAUUUUUUUCAUAUAAAAUAAUAUUUUGAACAUUUUUUACCGUAACAAGGUAAUAUGAUGUAUCUUUUAAGAACUCAACAUCAAGUUACAUCAUUAAUAUGACUAUUUUUUGCACUCAAAAUACUUUGAGAAUCUAAUAUAAUGCAAUUUAAAAUAGUUUAUAUAGAGUAGUAAAUAUAUAUUUUAGGAAAAUAUUUUAUUUUAUUUUAUUUUAGAAAUUUUUUAUUGUUAUCGAUCAAAUAACUAAUACUUUCUUAUUUUUUAAAAUCGUGUUAAAUAUUAUAUCAUGGGAGUGCUUAUCAAUUCAAAUAUAUUGAUUAAUUUAUGAAAGUAAAAGAUGUAUAUUAAGUUAACAUGGAUAAAGAAAAUUAUAAUGACAAGCAUGUAAUUAAAUAUUAGUUAAAUAAGAAAAUAACUUUUAUGAGUUGUUAUGAUUAAGAUGAAUUAAGAUAGGAGUCUUAUUUUUUAGUCUAAAUAUUGUUAAGGUGUGUUACAUAUCUGAUUCAUUCAGAUAUAUCCAGACCCAUUAAGAACUGAAUCUGAAUAAUUAAGAUCCAGUUCUUAAAAACAAAUACACUUAAUGAGACAAAUCUGAAUGAUUAAGAUUCAAACCCCAUUAAGUUCAAACAAAUGAGUCCUAACAUAAUGUAAUAUUGUUUUGUUGAUAUUUAUAAUAAUAUUUUUAAAUUAUAAUUUAUAAUUUAUAAUUUAUAAUUUAAUUUAAUAAUUAUAAAAAAUAUAUUUUUUUAAAAAGUGGGCUGGCUCGGCAAGCCUGUAGGCCACGUACUUGUAGGCUGGGUUGAUCAUUGUCUGGCCCACAUCAAAAAUGGGCUAGCCCGACCUGACCCGUAAAAUAUCAAUGCUUGUAUGGGUUAGCCCGGAUGGGGUGGACUAGCCCAUAUUGACAGCUCUAAUUUUCGUGUGUGAUAUUCUAUGGAUUUUUUUCAUCCAGAAAACACGAAACAAUAUAGAUAAAAUUUUUCAUUGACGUCCGUUAAGAUCGUAGAAAUAGAAUUAAUUUGUCUCACGGAGAAAAAUGAUGCAUUUUUAAGUUCAAACGAGCCCCACAGAAGAUAAAGACAAAUUUUACCGAUUUUCUUGUGCUAAACCCAUUCAUACUUUUAAAAUUCUUAAAUUCUGAAAUGAAAUGGCUGAAAUUUUUCAUGGACAUUCGUUAAGAUCUUAGAAAUGGAACUAGUUCAUCCUAGGGGAAAAUGGUGCAUUUCAAAUUCAUGGACGUUUGUUAAAACCUUAGAAAUUGAACAAGUUCAUCCCACGGGAAAAAAAUGUUACAAUUUCAAGUUCGAACGAGCUCCAAAGCAGGCAAAGACAGAUUUUAUUGAUUUUCGUGUUUAUAACCCAUAAUUUUUAUAAGGAAAUUUUGAAACAAAAUUGCCGAAAUUUUUCAUGGACUUCCGUUAAGACAUUAGAAAUUGAACAAGUUUUUCCCGUAGAUAAAAUGAUGCAUUUUCUAAUUCAAACGAAUUUCUAAGAAAGCAAAGACAAAUUUUACCGAUUUUUGUGUGCAUAGCCCAUGGGUCAUUUUUUAUUUGGAAAUCACAAAAUAAAAUUGUCAAAAUUAUACAUGGACAUCCGUUUAGACCUAUGAAGUCGAAACAGUUCGUCUCACGGAGAAAAAUGGUGCAUAUUAAAGUUCAAAUGAGUUUCAAAGCAGACAAAUAGAGAUUUUACUGAUCAUGUGCUAUAGCCUGUGGAUUUUUUUCAUCCGAAAAUCUCAAAACAAAAUGACCGAAAAUUUUGGUUGUCCGCUAAGACCUUAGAAAUGAAACCAGUUUGUCCCGAGGGGGAAAAUUUGUGCAUUUUAAAAUUCAAACAAACCCAAAGUAGGCGAAAGCAGAUUUACAUAUUUUUGUGUGCAAUAGCCCAUAGAUUUUUUUCAUCCAAAAAUUUUGAAAUAAAAUUGCCGAAAUUUUCAUGGACGUCCAUUAAGACCUUAUAAAUUGAACAAGUUCGAAUUGUAGGGGAAAAAUAAUUUAUUUUCAAGUUCAAACGAAUCCCAAAAGUAGACAAAGACAAAUUUACCGAUUUUUAUGUGCUAUUGCCUAUGAAUGUUUUUAUAUCCGGAAAUUUCGAAAUGAAAUUGUACAAAUUAUUCAUAGACAUUCUUUUAGAACUUAGAAAUAAAUCCAGUUUAUCCUUCGGGGAAAAUGGUGUAUUUUUAGAUUCAAACUAGCCCAAAAGCAGACAAUGACAAAUUUUAGUUAUUUUCAUGUGUUAUAGCACAUGAAUUCUUUUAUGAGGAAAUCCAGAAAUAAAUGACCAAAAUUAUUCAUAAAUGUACGUUAAUACCUUAGAAAUUGAACCAGUUCGUCCUGCGGGGAAUAAAUAUGCAUUUUCAAGUUCAAACGAGCGCCAAAGAAGGCAAAUGCAGAUUGAACUGAUUUUCGUGUGCUAUACCAUGAACUGUUUUUUAUUCGGAAAAUCCAAAACAAAAUGGCAUCAUUUUUUAUGGACGGUCCUUAGGACCUUAGAAAUGGAACCACUUCAUCCCGCUUAGAAAAAUGGUGCAGUUUAAAUUCAAGCGAGCUCUAAAACGCGCAAAAUAAAUUUUACCGAUUUUUGUGUGCUGUAACCCAUGAAUUUUUUUGAUCAUAAAAUAUUAAAACAAACGGCCAAAAUUUUUCAUGAACGUCCAAUAAAACCUUAGAAAUGGAACCAGUUCGUCCCGCCGGGAAAAAUGAUCUAUUUUCAAGUUAUAACAAACCCCAAAGUAGGUAGAGGUAGAUUUUUACCAAUUUUCGUGUGCUAUAUAGCCCAUGAAUUUUUCUAUUCGAAAAUUCAAAAAUAAAAUGUUUAAAAUUUUUCAUGGACGUCCUUUAGGACCUUAGAAAUGGAACAGGUUCGUCACUCGAGGAAAAAUGGUGCAUUUUAAAGUUCAAACGAGCCCGAAAGCAUGCGAAGGAAGAUUUUACCGAUAUUUGUCUGAUAUACCUAUGGAUAUUUUUUAGUUCAAAAAUUCUUAAACAAAAUAGCAAAAAAUCUUAAUGGACAUCAAUUAACACCUUAGAAAUGGACAAGUUCAGCCCGCGGGGGUAAAUUGGUGCAUAAUCAAGUUUAAACGAGUCCAAAAUAGGUAAAGUCUAAUUUAAUCGAUUUUCAUUUACUCUAGCCCAUGAAUUUUUUUUAUCCAUAAACCCUGAAACAAAAUGGCCGAAAUUUUUCAUGGACGUCCCAUAAGACCUUAGAAAUGGAACCAGUUCGUCCCAGCGGGAAAAUGGUGCAUUUCAUGUUCAAACGAUCCCCUAAGAAGGCAAGAAAUUUUUUAUCGAUUUUAGAGUGCUAUUGCCCUGAAUUUUUUUUUUAUCAAGAAAUUCCUAAACAAAUUUGACAAAAAUUUUCAUGGAUGCCUGUUAAUACAUUUGAAAUUGAACAAGUUUGUCUUGCGGGAAAAAACAAUGCAUAUUCAAGUUUAAUCGAACAAGUUUGUGCCGAGAGGAAAAAUGGUGUAUUUUUAAGUUCAAGAGCCUCACAUAUUUUACCAAUUUUCGAUUGCUAUAGUCCAUAAUUUUUUUUAUCCAAAAAUCUCAAAAAUAAAAUGGCUGGUAUCUUUCAUAAACGUCCGUUAAGACCUUAUAAAUGAAACCAAUUUGUCCCUCAGGAAAAAUGGUGCAUUUUUAAGUUCAAACGAGCCAUAAAGCAGGCAGAAAGAUUUUACCAAUUUUUUUGUGCUAUAACCCAUUACUUUUUAGGUUCAAAAUAUCAAAAUAAAAUAGCCGAAUUUAUAUAUGGACGUCCAUUAAAACUUUAUAAAUAAAACCAGUUUGUACCGCGGAAAAAAAUGGUGCAUUUUCUUUUGCUAUAGCCCAUAGAUUUUUUUGAUCUAGAAUAACAAAACAAAAUGGCCAAAAUGUUUCAUGGACUUUCGUUAAGACAUUAGAAAUGGAACCAGUUCGUCCUGCGAGGAAAAAUGGUGAAUUUUCAAGUUUAAACGAGCUUCAAAGCAGGCAAAAAUAAAUUUUACCAAUUUUCAUUCGCAAUAGUCCAUGUAUUUUAUUAUAUCAGGAAGUUCCAAAACAAAAUGACCAAAAUUUUCAUGGACGUCUGUUAAAAUCUUAUGCAUUUUCAAGCUCAAACGAGCCCCAAAGUAGACAAAGACAGAUUUUACAAAUUUUCUUUUUCUACUUUCCAUGAUUUUUUUUAAUCUUCAAAUCUCGAAUUGAAUGACCAAAAUAUUUCUUGAACGUCCGUUAAGAUUUUAGAAAUGGAACCAGUUCGUCCUGUAGGGAAAAAUGGUUUUUUUUCAAGUUCAAACGAGCCCCUAAGAAGGCAAAGGCAGAUUUUUAUAGAAUUUGAUGUGCUAUACCCCAUGGUUUAUUUUGAUCGAGAAAUACCGAUAUAGAAGGACCAAGAAUUCUAAUGGACAUCCUUUAAGACUAUAGAAAUAUAAAAAGUUCAUCUCGAGGGGAAAAAUGGUGCAUUUUCAAGUUCAAACGAGCCCAAAGAAAAUAAAGGCAAAUUUUACCUAUUUUCAAGUGUUAUAGCUUAUGAAUUUUUUUAUUCGGAAAUACUAAAAAUGAAUGGAUGAAAUUUUUCAUGGAUGUCCGUUUAGACCUCAGAAAUGGAACUAGGGUGUUCCGUGGGAAAAUAAUGCGUUUUCAAGUUCAAACGAGUCCCAAAGCAGGCAAAGACAGGUUUUGUCGUGUUUUGUGUGCUAUAACCCAUGAAUUUUUUUAAUCUAGAAAUCCCAAAAUAGAAUGACCCAAAUUUUUCAUGGACUUCUUUAAGACCAUAGAAAUGGAACCGCAUUGAAAAAUGGUGCAUUCUAAAGCGCAAACGAGCCCAAAGCAAGAAAAUGCACAUAUUUCUGAUUUUCUGUGCUAUAGACCGUGAAUUUUUUUAUCUUGAAAUCCCAAAAUAAAAUGACCUAAAUUUUAAAUGGAAAGCCGUUAAGAACUUAAAAAUGGAACAUGUUUGUCCCCGCGGGGUAAAAUGGUGCAUUUUCAAGUUCAAACGAGCCCCAAACUAACAAUGACAGAUUUUACCAAUUUUCAUGUGCUAUAGCUCAUGAAUAUUUUUUUAUCUUGAAUUCUUAAACAAAAUGGCUGAAAUUUAUCAUGAACGUCUGUUAAGACCAUAAAAAUAGAAUCAGUUCGUCCCGCAGAAAAAAAUGGUGCAGUUUCAAGUUCAAAUAAGCCCAAAAGCUGACAAAGGCAGAUUUACCGAUUUACAUGUUCCACACUCCAUGAAUUCUUUUUAAUUUGGAAAUCACGAAAUAAAUAGACCGAAAAUUUUCAUCUAGAUACUUUAAGAUAUUAGAAAUGGAACCAGUUCGUUCCGUGGGAAAAAUGGUAUUUUCUUAAGUUCAAUGGAGCCCCAAAGCAGGGAAAGGUAGAUUUUACCGAUUUUCGUGUACUAUAGCCAAUGAAUUUUAAUUGAUCCUGAAAUCCCAAAACAAAAUAGCUGAUAUUUUUCAUUAACGUCCAUUAAAACCUUAGAAAUGGAAACAGUUUGUCCCGCGGGGAAAAUGGUGCAUUUUCUAAUUCAAACGAGUCCCAAAGCAAGCAAAGACAAAUUUUACAAAUUUUCAUGUUCAUAGAUUCUUUUUGAUCCGGAAGUCCAAAAUAAAAUUGUUGAAAUUUUUCAUAGACAUUUUUUAAGACUUUAGAAAUGAAACAAAUUCGUUCCGGAGGGAAAAAUGCAUUUUCAUGUUCAAACGAGCCCCAAAAAAGGCAAAGGUAGAUUUUAUCAUUUUUCGUGAUCUACAACUCAUAAGAAAUUUUAUCUGAAAAUCCCAAAAUAAAAAUGCUAGAAAUUUCACGGAUGUCAAUUAAGAUCUUAAAAAUGGAACCAGUUCGUCCCGCGGGAUAAAGUGGUGCAUUUUUAUGUUCUAACGAACCCCAAAGUAGGGUAAGGUAGAUUUUACAGAUUUACGUUUGCUAUAGGCAAACUUUUUUAUCCGAAAAUUUAAAAAAAAUGGCUGAAAUUUGUUAUGGAUGUCUGUUAAAAUUUAGAAAUAAACUAGUUCAUCCCGCAUGAAAAAAAUUGUGCAUUUAUAAGUUCAAACAAGCCUCACAGCAGACAAAGGUAAAUUUUAUCAAUUUUUGUGUGAUAUAACCCAUGAAUUUUUUUAAUCCAGAAAUCCCAAAACAAAUUGACCAUAAUUUUUCAUGAACGUCCGUUAGAACCUUAGAAAUGGAACCAGUUCGUCCCGGGGGGAAAAUGAAGCAUUUUCAAAUUCAAACAAGCCCCAAAGAUGACGAAGGCAUAUUUGAUCGAUUUUCGUGUUUUACAGCCAUGAAUACUUUUAAUUGCGAAAUGCCAAAAUAAAAUGAAAAAAAAAUUUCAUGGACAUCCGUUAAGAUAUUAGAAAUGGAACCAGUUUGUCUCGUAAAGAAAAAUAGUAUAUUUCCAAGUUCAAUAGAUCUCUAAAGCAGGCAAAGACAAAGUUUAUCGAUUUUUGUGUGCUUUACCCUUUGAUUUUAUUUAUCCAAAAAUCCCAAAACAAAAUGGCUGAACUUUUACAUGAACGUCCGUUAAGAUUUUAGAAAUGGAGUCAAUUCAUCCCAUGGGAAAAAAUGGUGCAUUUUCAAGUUCAGACAAGCCCAAAGUAGGCAAAGACAUAUUUUUUUGAUUUUAUUGAUGAUAGAUUUUUUUAUCCAGAAGUUCCAAAAGAAAAUUGCCAAAAAUUUUCAUGGACAUCCGUUAAGACCUUAGAAAUAGAAAGAGUUCACCCUGAAGGGAAAAUGGUGGCUUUUCAUGUUCAAACGAGCCCAAAGUUAACAAAGAUAGAUUUUAUCGAUCUUCGUGUGCUAUAGCUCAUAGAUUUUUUGAUCCAAAAGUCCCAAAACAAACUGGCCGAAAAAUUUCAUGGAUGUCCGUUUAGACCUUAGAAAUUGAAUAAGUUUGUCCCGCAGUGAAAAUGGUGCAUUUAAGGUUCAAACGAGCCCAAAGCAGACACAGGUAGAUUUUAUUGAUUUUUGUGUGCUAUUGCCCAUGAAUUUUUUUAAUUUGGAAACCUCGAAAUAAAGUUACCAAAAUUUUUCGUGGAUGUCGUUAAGACCUUAGAAAUUGAAGCAGUUUGUCCCAUGGGGAAAAUUAUGCAUUUUCAAGUUUACAAGAGCCCAAAGUAGGGAAAGAGAGAUUUUUACCUAUUUUUUGUUCUAUAUCCAUGUGUGUUAAAUCCCCAAACAAAAUGACGGAAAUUUUUAAAGAACGUCUAUUAAUACCUUAGAGUCGAAACCAAUUCAUUAAGCGGGGAAAAAGGUGCAUUUUCAAGUUCAUACGAGCCCCAAAGAAGGCAAAAACAGAUUUUACCGAUUUUUGUAUGCUAUAACCUUUUUUUGGGGGGGCGGGGGGGGGGGGGGCUUGUUUGACCUUGAAAAUGGGUCAUUUUAGACUUCAGGGCCAAUUGGAUCCAAAACUAAUAUCUUAAAAACGACCAAAAAAAAUUGGACAAAAACAAUAUCGGAUAUCCUGAUUAUUAAAAAUCCAUAUACUAUCGUACACGAAAAUCGAUAAUGUGCUAUUUACAUGUAUCGGGGAUCAUUUGACCAUGAAAAUGGAUCGUUUUGGUUGUCAAAGACAACUUGCUCCUUAUAUAACGUUUUAAUGGAUGUCCAUGAAAAGUUUGAGCUUAACAGACGUUGGAAUUCUUUAUCGCCAAAAAGCCAUGGACUAUAGCACAUGAAAAUGGGUAAAAUAGGGGAUUUGCAUGCUCCAGUGCUUGUUUGACCUUCAAAAUGAGCAGUUUUGGCAGAAAGGAACAACUGGCUUUAUAUAUAACGUCUUAACAAAUGUGCACAAAAAAAUUGAGCAAAAAAGACGUCAAAAUUUUGUAUCACCAAAAAUCCAUGGACAUAGUACACGUAAAAAGGCAAUAUGGGUUUACCUUCUCCGGGGCUCGUUUGACAUUUAAAUUGGUCGUUUUGCCCGUUAGUGACAACAUGCUUCAUAGCUUACGUCUUAAAGGACGUCCAUGAAAAAUUUGAGCAAAACAGACGUCAUAAUUUUGGAUCGCCAAAAAUCCAAGGACUAGAGUAUAUGAAAAUUGACAAAAAUGUGGGGUUUACCUGCCUAGGGGCUUGUUUGACCUUUAAAAUAAGUUGUUUUGGUCGUCAGGGACAACAAGCUCCAUCGCUGACGUCUUAAAGGUCGUCCACAAUAAAUUUGGGCAAAAAGGAUGACAAAAUUCUGGAUCACCAAAAAAGAUUGUAGACGGUAACAAACGAAAAUUGGCAAAAUGAGGGUUUACCUGCUUCGGGGUUCAUUUGACCUUCAAAAUGAGCCGUUCUGGUAGUCAUGGUAAACUUUAUUAACUGAUAACAUCUUUACUAUGUCCAUAAAAAAUUUGGGCAAAAAAGAUAUUGAAAUUUCGGAUAAGCGAAAAUCCAUGAACUAUUUUGCAUGAAAAUUGACAAAAUGGGGUUUACUUGCUUCGGGUCUAGUUUAACUUUUAAAAUGGAUUAUUUUUGCUGUCAGGGCCAGCUAGAUCCAUAGAUAACGUCUUAACUGACGUUAAAAAAAAAUUGAGCAACAAAAAAUGUCAAAAUUUUUUAUCACUCAAAAAAUCUAUGGACUAUAGUACACAAAAAUCAGCAAAAUACAGAGUUUAAUUGCUCUAGGGCUCGUUUAACCAUCAAAAUGGGUCAUUUUGAUCUUCAGGGCAAAAAAUAUGUCGGAGUUGUGGAUCACCAAAAAAAGUGGAUUAUAGCAAACAGAAAUGAGAAAAAUUAGGGGUUUAGCUGCUUCGGGGCUCAUUUGAACUUUAAAAUGGGUUCUUUUGACCGUCAUGACUAACUAGCUCCAUUAAUAAUGCCUUAACGGAUGUCCAUUAAAAAAAUAGGGCAAAAAAGAUAUGAAAUUCCGGAUCACCGAAAUCCAUAGAGUAUAGUACACAAAAAUCAUCAAAAGAAGGUUUACCUGCUUCAGCGAUCGUUUGACCUUGAAAAUGGGCCAUUUUGAUCAUCAGGGCAAACUGACUCGAUAACUAACGCCUUAACGGUCGUCGCGAUUUCGGAUCACCAAAAAUUCAUGGGCUCUAGCACACGAAAAUAAGCUAAACAUGGGAUUUACCUGCUCUAGGGCUCUUUUGGCUUUCAACAUGGGUCGUUUUGACCGUCAAGGACAACUGGCUCCAUAGCUAACAUCUUAACGGACUUCAACAAAAAAUAUGGGCAAAAACUACUUAGGAAUUUUGAAUCACCAAAAAUUUUGUGCACUAAGGCAAACAAAAAUCGGCAAAAUGAGGGAUUUAUCUGCUGCAGGCUAAUUUGUCUUUUAAUAUGGGUCAUUUUAACCGUCAGUGACAAGUUUCUCCAUGGAUGACGUCUUAACGGAAGUCCGCCAAAAACUUGGGAAAAAAAUGUCAAAAUUCUGAAUCUCAAAUAAUCUAUGAACUAUAGUACACAAAAUUAGUAAAAUGGGGUGUACCUGCUUCGGGGUUCGAUUGACCGUGAAAUUUGAUCGUUUUGGCCAUCAAUGUAACCUUGAUCUAUAGUUAAUGUCUUAACAGACAUUAACAAAAAAUUUGAGCAAAAAAGAUGUCGAAAUUCUGGAUCACGAAAAAUCCAUAGCUUAUAUCACAAGAAAAUUGGCAAAAAAGGGAUUUACCUACUCUGGGCCUUUAUUGAACGUCAAAAUGGAUCAUUUUGACCAUCAUGUCCAGCUGGAUCCUUAAAUAACGUCUUAAUGAACAUCCAGAAAAUUUUUUGGCAAAAAGAAGGUCAAAAUUAGCAAAAUGGGAUUUACUUGAUUCGGGGCUCGUUUGACCUUAAAAAUGAGACGUUUUGACCGUCAGGGAAACCUGGAUCCAUAAGUAGCGUCUUAGCAAACAUCCACGAAAAUUAGCAAAAUGGAAUUUACUUGAUUCGGGGCUCGUUUGACCUUAAAAAUGAGACGUUUUAACCGUCAGGGAAACCUGGAUCCAUAAGUAGCGUCUUAGCAAACGUCCACGAAAAAUCAUAGCGAAAAAGACGUCAGAAUUCUGAAUCACUAAAAAUCUAUAGACUAUAGGACACAAAAAUUGGUAAAUUGGGGGAUUUACCUGCUACAAGGCUUGUUUGACUUCCAAAAUAGGUCUAUUUUGCCGUCAAGGCCAAUUGGAUCCAUAGAUAUAGUCUUAAAACACGUCCACAGAAAAUUCUGGCAAAAUGAUAUUGAAAUUAUGGAUCACCAAAAACGAUCAUGGACUAAAGCAAAUGAAAAUCAGCAAAAUAAGGGGUUUACCUUUUUCGGGGCUCGUUUGACCUUCAAAAUGGGUUGUUCUGGCAGUCAAGGCCACCAGGCUCAAGAUAUAACGUCUUUAAGGACGUCUACCAAAAAUUUUGGGCAAAAAGGACUUCGGAAUUCCGGAUAGCCAAAAAUACAAUGGACUAUGGUACACGAAAAUCGGUAAAAUGAGAUUUACCUGCUUUGUGCUUUGUUUGACCUUGAAAAUGGAUAGUUUUAGCCGUCAGGGUCAACUGGGUCCAUAGCUAACGUCUUAACGGACUAUAGCAAACUAAAAUCAGCAAAUGAUGGGUUUACCUGAACUGGGGCUCGUUUGACCUUCAAAAUGGAUCGAUUUGACCAUCAAGGCCAGUUGACUCCAUUGAACACAUUUUAAUGGACGUCCACAAAAAAUAAGGCAAAAAAACGAAAGAAUUCUUGAUCACCAAAAAUUCAUGGACUAUAGGGUUUACCAACUUUUGGGGAUCUUUUGGCCUCGAAAAUGGGCUGUGUUGGACGUCAGGGCCAACUGACCCAAUAGCUAACAUGUUAGCAGACAUCCAUGAAAUAGCACAAAAAAAUCGAUAAAAUAGGGGGUUUACCUAUUAUGGGCUUGUUUUCCCUUCAAAAUGGGAAAUUUUGGCCGUGAGGGCCAAAUUGCUUCAUAUAUAACGUCUUAACGGACAUCCAAAAAAGAUUUUGUCAAAAAAGACGUCAAAUUUCUAAAUCACCAAAAAAUCUAUGAACUAUAGUACACAAAAAUUGGCAAAGUGGGGUUUACCUGCUUCGGUUCUUGUUUGACGUUGAAAAUAAGUUGUUUUGGCGGUAAGGGUCAAUUAGCUCCAUAGCUAAUGUCCUAACGGAUGUCCAAAUAAAAAUUUGAGCAAAAAAGACGUUAAAAUUUUGGAUCACCAAAAAUUCAAGGACUAUAGCACACAAAAAUCGGCAAAAUGAAGGGUUUACCUUCUCUGGUCCUCGUUUCACCUUCAAAAUGGACCUUUUUGGCCGUCAGACCAACUUGAUCCAUAACUGAUGUCUUAACGGACGUCCACGAAAAAAUCAAGCAAAAAAUACUUUGAAAUUCUGGAUUACCAAAAUAGAUCAUGAACUAUAGCAAAUAAAAAUUGGCAAAAUAAGGGGUUUACCUACAUUCGGACUCGUUUGACCUUCAAAAUGGGCCAUUUUGGCCAUCAAAGAAAAUUGACUCCAAAUCUUAUGUCUAAACGGAUGUCCACAAAAUCUUUGGACAAAAAAGACGUCUGAAUUCCAGAUCACCAAAAAUCUAUGGACUAUAAUACACAAAAAUUAGUAAAAGAGGGUUUACCUGCUUCGGGGCUUGUUUGACUUUGAAAAUGGGUUGUUUUGGUAUUAAGAGCCAACUAGCUCCAUAGGUAAUUUUAGAGGUGUACAAACUGAACCGACGAACCAAAUCAAACCGGAAAAAAAAACCUGACUUGUGGUUUGGUUUGAUUGGUUUGGCGAUUGAAAAAAAAAUCGACCACUAUUGGUUUGGUUUGGUAUUAGAAAAAAUAUCAAACCAAACUCAAAACAAACCGACACACACAUAUAUAUACAUAAUUUAUUUCAUUUAUAGAUAAAAAAUAUUAUUUACUUAUAAUCUACUUUGGUGAUAUAUUUUUAGUUAGUUUAUGAUUUUUAAUUUUAUAUAUUUUAUUUCAACUUUGGAUUUGUAAAAUUUUGUGUGUGUGUGUAUAUAUAUAUAAAAUUUUAUUUAUAACUAAAAAAUAUUAUUUAUACUCUACUUUGUUAAUAUAUUUUAAGUUAGUUUAUAAUUUUCAAUAUGUAUUUAUUUUAUUUCAAAUAGGCUUGUAAAAAUUGUAAAUAUUUUAUUUUGUGAAAAGAUCCGAAGUUACAAUUAUAUUCUUUUAGUUUUUCAAAUUUGAAGUUAACAAUUUACUUUGUAAAUAUUUUUUUGUAAUCAGUUUGUAUCUAGCCUUUAAUCUUAUUAGUUUAGCAUAAUGAACGUUGAUAUUUCAAAAAAAAUAUUUUGUACUCAUCUGAACGAAAAUUUUUAUUCACUUUACAUUUUUUAAGUGUAGUUUAUCACAUAGGUAAGUGUAAAAAUGUUUAUAGCUUUUUCAAAUACGGUAUAGUUGUAAAAAACCAAAAAAACCCAAAAGAACCGACUAAAACCGAAAUCGACAAAACCGACUUUAUAUGGUUUGAUUUGGUUAUUAGAUUUGAUAAACAUACAUAAUUUGUUUAGAUUUUUUUAAAUAAAAAACAAAGCGAACCAACCUAUGUACGCCCCUAGCUAACGUUUUAGUAGACGUUUACGAAAAAUUUGAGCCAAAAUAACGUCAAAUUCUGGAUUACAAAAAAUCCAUGGACUAUAGCACACCGAAAUUGGAAAAACUGGGAUUUACCUGCUCCAGGGCUCGUUUGACCUUAAAAAUGGUUCGUUUUGUUUGUCAGGGCCAAAAAAAGUCUAUAGCUAACAUCUUAAUGACGUUGACAAAAAAACUUUGAAAAAAAGACGUCGGAUUCUGGAUCAUAUAAAAAGAUCGUGGACUAUAGCAAACGAAAAUCGGCAAAAUGAUGGGUUUACCUACAUUGAGACUCGUUUGACCUUUAAAAUGGGUCAUUUUUGCCUUCAGGGGAAAUUGGCUCCAUAAAAAACAUCUUGAUGGACGUCCACUAAAAAAUUGGACAAAAAAGACAUAAGAAUUUCAAAUCACCAAAAAUUUAUGGAUUAUAGUACACAAAAAUUGAUAAAACAGGGUUUACAUAUUUCAGGGCUUGUUUGACCUUGAAAAUGGGUCGUUUUGAUUGUCAGAGCCAACUAGUUCCAUAGCUAACGUCUUGGCAGACAUUACGAAAAAUUUAAAAAAAAAAAUGUCGGGAUUCUGGAUUAACAAAUAUCCAUGGACUAUAGCACAUGAAAAUUAAUAAAAUGAGGGAUUUUCCUUUUUUGGGGCUCGUUUUACCUUUAAAAUGGAGUUUUGGCCAUCAAGACCAAGUGGGUCCAGAGAUAAAAUCUUAAGGUAUGUCGACAAAAAGAUUAAAAAAAAGACGUCGAAAUUCUGGAUCACCAACAAAAUUGUGGACUUUAAUAAGAUUAAAAUCGGUAAAAUGAGGGAUUUACCUACCUCGAGACUUGUUUGUCCUUUAAAAUUGCUUGUUUUAGUUGUCGAGGAUAAUUGGAUUACAUAUAUAACGUCUUAACGGACGUCCAAAAAAAUUUGGGCAAAAAAGAUGUUGGAAAUCUUAAUCAACAAAAAUACAUGGAUUAUAGUACACGAUAAUCAGCAAAAUGGGGUCUACUUAUAGCGGGGAUUGUUUGACCAUGAAAAUGAGUCGUUAUGGCCAUCAGAGCAAAUUAGGUCCCCUAGAUAAAGUCUUGAUUGACGUCAACAAAAAAUAAGCAAAAAAGACAUUGUAAUUCUGGAUCACCAUAAAUUCAUGGACUAUAGGACACGAAAAUAAAAAAAAUAGGGGUUUACCUGCUCCGGAGCUAAUUUAACCUUCAAAAUAGGUUGUUUUUGCCAUCAGGGACAACUAAUUUCAUAAAUAACGUCUUAAAAUACGUCCACAAGAAAGUUUGGGCAAAAAAGACGUCGGAAUUUAGGAUCACCAAAAACGUUUGUGGACUAUAGUCUAUAGCAAACAAAAUCGACAAACUUAGAAGUUUAACUACUCUGGGACUUGUUUGACCUUAAAAAUGGGUCGUUAUGGCCGUCAGUGCCAGCUAGUUACAUACUAACGUCUAAAGGACGUCCACAAAAAAAUUGGACAAAAAAAUAUCAGAAUUAUGGAUCACCAAAAAAGAUCGUGGACUAUAGCAAACGAAAAUUGAUAAAAUGAGGGGUUUACCAUCUUUGUGGCUCGUUCGACCCUCAAAAUGAGUCGUUUUAGCCGGCUGGCCGAACUGACUCCGUAGAUAACAUCUUAACGGACGUGCACAAAAAAAUUGGGCAAAAGUGACAUCAAAAUAUUGGGUGACCAAAAAUUCAUGGGCUAAAGUACAUGAAAACCAAAAAAAUUGGCCGUUUUGGCCAUUAGGGCCAACUGGAUCCAUAACUAACGUCUUAACGGACGUCCUAAAAAAUGUAGGUAUUUUGGAUCACCAAAAAUUUGUGGACUAUAAUACAUGAAAAUCGGCAAAAUAAAGGGUUUACAUGCUCUGUGGUUCGUUUGACCUUCGAAAUGGGUUGUUUUGGCUGUCAGUGGCAACUACUUCAGUAACUACGUAUUAAAAGACAUCCACAAAAAUUUGGGCAAAAAAGUUGGAAUUUUGGAUCAUUAAAAAAGAUCGUGGACCAUAGCAAAUGAAAAUCAGCAAAAUGAGGGGUUACCUGCUACAACGCUUGUUUGACCUAUAAAAUGGGUUGUUUUGGCCGUCAGGGCCAACUGUCUCCAUAGAUAAUGCUUUAACGAGCGUCCACAAAAUAUUUGUGCAAAACAUGCUUCAAAAUUCUAGAUCACUAAAAAAGAUCAUGGACCAUAGCAAACGAAAAUCAGCAAAAUAAGGGGUUAACUUCUCUAGGCUCGUUUAACGUUCAAAAUGGAUCGUUUUGGCCGUCAAGGCCAACUGACUCAGAUAAUAUCUUAACACACGUCUACAAAAAUUAGGCAAAAAAGAUGUUAGAAUUCUUGAUCACCAAAAAUCCAUGGACUAUAAUACAUGAAAAUCGAUAAAAUAGGGUUUUACUUGAUUCAGGGCUCUUUUGACAUUGAAAAUGGAAUGUUUUUGGCCGUUAGGGCCAACUCGAUCCAUAGCUAAUGUCUUAACGGACGUCCACGAAAAAUUUGAGCAAAACAGACGUUGGAAUUCUCGAUCACCAAAAAUCUAUGGCCUAUAUAGCACACGAAAAACAAUAAAAUGGGGGUUUACCUCCUUCGGGGCUUGUUUGAUGACCUUCGUAGAAGGCCGUUUUGACCAUCAGAGUCAUUUGAAUCAAUAGGUAACGUCUUAAGGACAUCCACAAAAAAUUUGGGCAAAAAAGAUCAUGGACUAUAGCUAAUGAAAUUUGGUAAAAUAAGGGGUUUACCUGCUCUAAAACUUGUUUUACCUUCAAAAUGGAUUAUUUUAACCGUCAAGGCUCACUGUCUCCAUAUAUAACGUCUUAACGGACAUCCACAAAAAUUAGGUAAAAAAGAUGUCGAAAUUCUGGAUCACCAAAAAUCCAUGAAUUAUAGGACACAAAAAUUGGCAAAAUAAGGGUUGGAGGGUGGGUUUACCUGCUUUGGGUCUUGUUUGUCUUAAAAAUGGGUUGUUUUGGCAUUCAAAACAACAAAGCUCCAUAGUCAACGUCUUAACGGACGUCCACAGAAAAUUAGGGCAAAAACACAUCGUAAUUCUAGAUCAGCAAAAAAGAUUGUGGGCUAUAGUAAACGAAAAUAAAAAAAUUGAGGGAUUUACCUGCUCCGGGGCUCGUUUGACCUUCAAAAUGGGCCGUUUUAGCCAUCAGGGCACACUGGCUGUCACGGCCCGAGAGCACCUCUUAACACGACGUAUUCGACCUCAAAGAGUUCUUAUACAAGCCUUUACCAUAGCAUGAACAUUAAAGCAUAUGAAAAUAGCAGAAAAUUUAAAACUUUCCUUUAACAACCUAAGUCUCUUACAAAUAAAAGAGUAUCUAUCACACUAUAUCUAAAACAAUCUAUAAAAUAGAAUUUCAUUAGACUGAAAUCUCUUUAAUACAACUUAGGGAACGACCUGUACAAAAGUCUAAAGACAUAAAAUGAAGACAUAACCAGACAAGGUAGGUUAAUCCUCGAAACUAUGAGGACUCCCUAAGUCUUCAUCUACGAGCUCUUUAGAAACCUAUCUUCCAAGUAUAACACACCACAUUUCCAAACCCUACACUUUGUAGAAAAUGUAGAAAGAAGGGGUUAGCACGAAAACAUACUAAGUAUGGAAGCCAUGCAUAAAAACAUUUAAAACAUGCUUAAAAGGGACAUUUAGUUGAAACCAUGUUUUAUGCACAUUUGAAAAUAAUCUUGAAAGAGUUCGAGAAUCACAAGUCAUAAGAAACUUACAUAUAGUUCACCAAAGCGCAUAUGAUAAUAACAUCACCAUAAGCAUAGUCUCUAAACAUAGUCUUAAUACAAUAUCACUCAUUCAAGAUAUAAUACUCAUGCAUAGUCAAUUAUUAAGAUCAUUACAUCAUAAUAUAAUCCACAUAAGUAACCCUUGGUUGCACUUGUUCCAUGAGUAGAUAAAGUCCCAUAACCCUAUCUACACUAAGUACUACUUUAGGAUCACCAUACUCAUACUUAUCAUACAUUUGUCUAAUCCAUAGUUCAUUCACUAACUAUACACAUAGUGAGGAGGCAUUCAUAAACAUUAGCUCAUAUCAAGGAAAGUCAAUCAUAAGGCUAAUUCAAUGGAAGCAUGCAUUACUCAUAAUCUUUAUAAUAAAAUGGAACUACACCAUGGCUAAUUUAGAAGUCUACUUGUUCCAUGUAUUAGUGGCAUCCCAUAAUACCCCUCAUACCAAGUAGAUCUCCUAGAGAAGUCAUCAGUUACGGUUCAUGUCACACAUUCAUAUCAUAUAUCAUAGUCAUAUUUCAUAGUUAACUAUCAUAAGUAAACCACCCUCAAAAUCCCUUCACAAGUUCACUUGUGCAAUGUACAUAUGAAGUCUCAUACCCCCACAUAUACUAAGAAAAAACCAUCAAGAAGUCAUAAGCAUAGUCAAAUACUUCAUUAGUCAUCAUAAUAGGUAGAACCAACCAUAACAUCAUUCAUGAGUAACCAUGCAUGAAGAACUCACACCAGAACCUCUCUUAACACCCACUUGUGCAAUGCAUAGGUAACGUCCCAUACCAUCACCUACACUAAGUAGUAUCCCUCAAGAAGCCUAGUUAGAAUUCAUGUUCUUAACUUCAUUCAUAUUUUAAUUUGGGAAACUUUGCCAUAACUGACAUAGACAAUGUGAGCUAUAUGGACUCCGGUGACUAUCUCUCACACCGAAAAGAGAGUGUCCUGCUUGCCAAGGUUGGGCAUACAUUCAUGAUAGCGUUUAGGUGGAUCCAUUAGAUACAACUGAUGUGGGCGCAUAGUUAUGGGAUAGGGAGAGUUCUAGAAACCUUAUACUUAUUGAAGUGCGGGUUUCCAUAUCAUGAGACCAUUGGGGGAACCUCCCUUCCUUUUUGAAGAAAACCUUCUCAUUUUCAUAUCCACUCGGUGCUAAGCACAAUCCCCCCCCCCCUUAUGUAACCAUUAUUCUUUACUUUAGCAAUGGUUCAUAAAUAAUACCUUAUGGACUUAAUCCCUCAUAUAUCAUUUGGCUCAAGGGUUUCAAGAUGAGAAUGACCUUUCAUCAUAGAACCAACAUCAUGUAAGAUUGUAUCUUUCAUCUCAUAGUCAUAUAGUGUUCAUGAAUCUCAUGUCCCACCAUUAUUUUCCUUGUUACCAAAAAAUAUAGUCUCAUUACUGGAAGCAAUAUAAAGUCUACGUUCGCUUCACUUCCUUAGGUUCACUAGUGGAAUCACACCGAGUAUGUUUGUGUUGUUGUUACUUGAUUCCUUUGUUAUUAUACCAAGUUUGUGCAAAUCCACGUAUCAAUAGUGACAAAAUGACCACUUCUAGUGCUGCAAAAGAAUCAAUCAUAUACAGAAAAUGAAUGUGGCUAAACUUGAAAGUACUAAGCUAAUAUGACACUAUUAAAAAGAAUAUCUUUUUUUGUACUUUUGAAACUUAGUUUAAAUUAUCUAUCUUUUAUCCUAAAAAAAGUACUUUUUAUAAUCAACAAUCUUUCAUGAUAUAUUUUGAGAUCAAUCCAAAUAGAAAAUAGUUUUAUUACUUUCAUCUCCGCCAAACCCACCAUUUGUUGGAAUUUUGAAAGCAUCGUGUGCAUUAAGAAUCUUUGAGUUCAAACAUAGAGUACACUAUAGAUUUGCUAGUACGGAUAAACACAGGUUGGAUUUAUAAUUUUAUAAUUUAUCGAUAAUGGGUUAUCGAUUUAGUAAAAGUAUUACUUUUUUUAUUAUCGGAUUAUUGAUUCUUAAUGGUAAGAAAUUUUUCCUUAACGAAUCAAUCGAUAUAUCAUUCGGUAUAUAAAGUACAUUAUUUGCUUUUGUUGUUUUGCAAAAGAUGCAAUUUAUUAACACACGUGCAUGGUUUAUUUAGCUUUGUCACCUUGUUUUUAAGUGAUUUUUAAUGAUAAUUUUUUUGUGUCAAAUUUUAACAGUUAACUCAAUAACUGAACCGAUAAAGAUCAAUAAAUUCACUGUAAAUCAAUAUCUUAAUGAUUCUUAACGAUUUAGCAUAUUACAAAUUGAUCAAUAAGUUAAACCGAUAAAUUUCAAAAUUAUAACGAUUUAGCGUAUUAUAAAUUAAUAACCGAUAAAUUAAAUUGAUGAAUCGAUCCAUACGCAAUCUUAAUUCUAAAAGUGACAAAUAGAAAAUGGUAGAAAAUAGCUGGUCAUUUGAUUCCCCCCACAAACCCACCAUUUGUUGGAAUUUUGAAAGCAUUGUGUUAUCUCAAUAAUCCUGCUGGCCUUCUCAGCAGAAAGUGAUCUUGUCAAUGAAGAAUCCUCUUUUUCUCUCUCUUUUUUUUUUUGAGUGGAUUAAGAAUCUUUGAAUUCAACCAUAUACACCAUAGAUUUGCUAGUAAUUUUGAAUUUUAAGAUUUAUCGAUAAUGGAUUGUUGAUUUAGUUGUUUUAGUAAUAGUUUUAAUUUUUUUAUUAUUGAGUUAUUUGUUUUUAAUAGUUUGAAGUUUUUUAUUUAACAGAUUUAUCGAUAUAUAUUCAUAUAAUUUUGCUUAUAAAGUACUUAACUUAGAGCUUAGUUUCAUAUUUAAUUUCUAAAUGUCUCAAACUCACAGUUAUUCUGGAGCGCGUCAGUGUUUGUUUUUGCAGUCUCAAGAUGCAAUCUGUUAACUCAUGUACAUAAUUCAUUUGGUUUUUCACCUUGUUUCUAAGUGUCUUUUAAUGAUAAUUUCUCAAAUAUUAAUGGUUGAAUGAAAAACCGAAUCAAUAUUUUAAUGGUUUUAUAAUAGCUUUAACUCAUAAAUCAAAUUGAUAAACUUUUAAAUCAAACCAAAAUGAUUAAUAUGCAACACUAUUUAUAACAAUUAAAACAUUCGAUAGAUUCAGAAUUUAAAAUUACUAGAUUAAAAAGACGCGGGAUUAGAUUUAUACCUUGGGUAGGGUGAUUUUGGAGUGGUGAGGGAAUAAAGGCAUUAAUUGGCAUCCUUCUAGAUUGAGCUUAGCGCGGUAAACGCGGUUAGACUUCAUCACUGCAAAUUCAAGAAUCAAAUACCUAAAAAUCAUAAUUUAAAAUGAAGUCAAUAUAUACAAUAUACACUUUCUCACAAUAAUUCUCAUAAUAACAAUAAUAAUAAAAAUAAUAAUAAUAAUAAUAACGUGACUUUUAUCAUUUUUCUCGUGUAUAUUAGCUCAUGUAUCUGACGCCAUUGUAGAUACCCAAAACUUAAAAAAAAAAAACUACAUUAGGACCAGAAGCAUUACGUAUUGUUCCCUCCGUUUUAAAAGUCCGCUAUCAAUUUCUACAAGUCCAUUUAAGUUUGAGAAACUUACAUAAAUAUACUAUAAUAAAAAAAAUAUUUAUCAUUUAUAACAAUAAUAUUUUUUUCACUUGAUCAGUUUUAAUGCAUUUACAAUACAAGUUUAAUACAUAUUACAAAGAACAAUUUAUUAUUCAAAUAUAAGAUACAAGUUUUAAUGAUGGAUAAUACAAUUAUCACACAUUUUAAUACACUUAUAAUACAAUGUAUCAAAUUUUUACCAAACAAACAAAAUAAUGUUUUUAAAAAAUAAUUAUAAUACAUAUAUAUUGCAUACAUAAUUCACCCUUUAUACAUAUUACAGAUUUAACAUAAUAUUGUUCUAAAUAGUAAUAAAUAAAGAUUAUUACUAAAAUCAGUAAUUAUUUAUUAAAAUGUAUCAAUUCAUCUAAUUUUUCCUUUGAGUUUUAUGAGUUACAAGAUUUUAUAUGUACUAGUAUAUAUUUUUGCCAUAAAUCCAAAUUGGUCAUGCACAUGUUUUCUCCAGUUACAAGUUCCAUAAUAUGUAGAAAAUUUGCAUGACAUGCCUACUAAUCGCAAAAUACACAUAAUAAAUUUUUUUAAAAAAUGUAUUGAAAACAUUCUUGAAUUUGACAAUAUUAUUCGCUAUUUAUUGUUCCGAAACAUUUCAUUAUAUUUAUGUCUACUAGUUAGUACGUAUUGGUACUAACGAACGUACACAAUCCUCUCUUUUUAUGGAAACUUUAUCUCAAACUUUUAAAAUCACUACCUCCCAAACCAAUUAAAAAGGACUUUCAUGACUAAAGACACUUUCUAUGUACUUAUAUAUAUAGUCACUUAGCUAAUUUCAAACAUCGAUUCAUAACAAUUAAUUAAUAUUCGAGUCUUGAGAAUGAAACAAGUAUUAACGGAGAUGAAGAAAGGACCCUGUAGUUCCGAUGAAGACUCUAAACUCAUCCAUUCCAUCUCCAUAUUUGGACAAGGACGUUGGAAUUCACUUGCUCACGUUGCCGGUAUAUAUAUGUCAUGUUGUUAGAGAGACCACAAGUAUACAAUAUGUAACAUUUUGUUUCUAUUAUCAAAAGAUAAUUACGUAUAUAUUGAUAUAUAUAUAUAUAUAUAUAUAUAUAUAUAUAGGGUUGAAGCGUAGCGGUAAGAGUUGUAGACUAAGAUGGUUGAAUUAUUUGCGGCCAAAUUUACGACGAGGAAAAAUAACUCCUCAAGAGAAGCUCCUUAUUCUACUCCUUCAUUUUCGCUUCGGAAAUAGGUAAGUUAAGUAUUUAUAAAAUAUGUCAUAUAAAUUGAACAAAUGAAACAAUUAUAUUUUAUAAAGGUUGAAACAUAGAUAACAAUUAUUAUUAUUAUUAUUAUAUUUUUUAAUAAAUAAAAAAAGAUAGUGAUAUGGUCAAUAAUUUUUCAACCAUGGGAAAUAAGAUGUGGUAAUAAUUAUUUCAUUUUUUUUCAAAAUAAAAAAUAGAUGGUCAAAAAUAGCAGAGAAUUAACCUGGGAGAAGUGAUAACGAUGUCAAAAUUACUGGAGAACCAAAGUGCAAAAGCAUGCAAAAGAGCUUCAUUGCGAAAUCAAUAGUCAACAAUUUCGACACCUCCUUCUCUAUCAAUGGAUUCCUUCUCUGUUGGCUCAACAAAUAUCGACUUCUUCUUCAUCGUCAUCUUCUUCUGAAUUAAUCGUGAAGGAGAAUUAUUCUCUUAACGAUAUCAAUACAUAUCCAAACGUUAAUAUCAUUUCAUCAACAGAUUCAUUGGUAAGGGAAGAUAGUAAUAUUUGGAAUAACUUGUCUAGUUUUGAAGAUAGAAUUAAUGUUCCUCAUGAUAUUUCAACCCCUUCAGACAUGACACUUCAUUAUUAUUCAUCUCAUGAUGAGGAUGAUCAGUACUACUUUCACAACUAUUGGACAAGUGCUGAAAUGUCAAGUUUGUAUGAAAUGGACCUUUGGCUCUGAUUACGAGUAUACGUGAAUCCAAUAAUGUCUUUAUCUAAUUUUAUAUAUAUAUAUAUAUAUAAAGAAUUUACAAAAUUAUCUAUAAAUAUUUAACUAGUUAUUAUUGUAUUGUAAUAUUUACUUGAAAUCAUUAUCAAAACUCAUUGUAUAAAUUUUAGCUAUGAAUUUUCUCUCACCUCUAUUAUAAUGUAUAUAUAUGCAUGCACACCCAUCGCGUCAACAUUUUUCCAUGCAUGUACGUACUAUAUAAUUAACAUGAACCUUUGUUUCAUCGCCUCACUUUUAAUUUAAGAUGAUUAUAUGAUUUAAAAAUCUAUCUUUAUUCCUAAUUAAGUUAAGUGUCGAAUUAAACUAAAAACAUUUGAAUUAGGAUGGGAGGAAUUAUAAAAUAGCAACUUCCCUCACUACAAGCGAUAUAAGAAACUACUUCAGUCGUUCCUUUUCAGUAGUCAUUAUAAGGUUUGACACAAUAUUGAGAAAAAAAUUAAUAAAGAGUGUUGUUUGAUGAUUCUAUUUCUUAUUAGUUAUUUAAUCGUUAUCUAUAUAUAUGCCUCUUGAUUCUAAAAUUAUAAACAUUAAGGAUAAAGUUGGAAAAUGAUAAUUAAUUAUCUUUUGAUUGUUUAAAUGACAAUUAUUUUUGGUACAUACGACAACUAGAAGGAACAAAUGAAGUAUAAUAUAGAAUAAUAACCUAUAAGAUAAUAUGAAUUUGUUCGUUACCAUAUAUAUGUCGUUCUUACUAAAAAUAGACGUUCUUUAAUACUUGUCAUUUCACAAAAAUCAAUAAUAACAUACUAUUUCUUAUUUUACCCUUAGGAAUUAUUAGUUUAAAGAUAUGAAUUUGACCAAACAUAUGAAAACUAAAUAAUUAAUUUAUGUUCACGUUAAUUUUACUAAUUAAAAUAAAUUAAUUUAUAUUUAUCUAUUAAAAACUUGACUUCAAGAUAACUAGAGUCGUCAAAAGAGCUUAACUCAUGGGGCCCACCCUACCCAAUAUGUUAUUGGGGGUAGAGUUGAGAUUGAAUUUUCAAAUUCAUUUAAAAUUAGGGCUUAUAAGUCCGAUCCAUAUAAAUUCUUAAACAUUGAUGCUUGAUCGGGAAGAGGUCAAGGUCAAUCCAUGUACCAAAACUAUUUAUUUAAGAGUAACUUACAAAAAUUUCUAAAGUGUAUGAGUUAAUUACUUAAAGACACAUUAUGUUGUAAUAAUGUGAAUGUUAUCCAAUUUGGUACGUCCAGAUACAUACAUUCAAAAUUAUGUUAAUUUGUUCUAGAUACAUUCUAUCUAUGUGAAUAUUAUGUAUUUAGAAUACAUAGACAAAUCUCUCAGCCUUUUUAGGGUUUAGCUGAGUUGAAUAUUCUCAGGUCCUUCCAAAUAAAAGACCGACCUAUCCUAGCCCAUUAAAUUAUCUGGCCCGCAAAGCUUGGGCCGAAUGGACUGGGCCAACUAUUUUUGACAACUCAACUCUAAAAAUAACACUAAAUAAGAGUUAAGUAAACUUACCUAGUUUAUAAAAACGUGAAACCUAAAAUAGUGACAUAUAAAUAGAAACCAAUCAGGUAGCUACUAUAGGAGUCAAAUGACGGCGCUGCUCACCUUUGCUCUUGGCCGCCAAAUUUGUACCCUCAACAGCUUCAUCGGAGAAGAAAACCGAAGCUCUUCAUUAAAGCCCUCACUUGACAAACGUGUAUCACGAAAUUCCCUUAUCGGUGGUUACUUCAAACAUAGCCACAUCCAACAAGCAGAAUACCUGUUCGACCAAAUGCCUCAUAGAGAUGUCAUUUUUUGGAACACAAAUGCUCUUCGGGUAGCGCAACGCCAACAAGCCAGAAAAGUAUACAGAUGUUUUCUAGAUAUGAACAGAUGUGGAGAAAUGAGACCAAUGAGCUCACUUUCACGGUAUGUGUUAGCUCCUUCUUGCAUUUUUUAUUACAAACAUUUGAUCCCUCAACUUCAUUGUCUCGUGCUCUGUUUGUUAUUAAGUCUCAAUUUAUUUGACGAGGGGUUAUGUUGAUUUGGAUGAUUAAAGGGGUUUAGGUCGAGUUUUUGAUGAAAUUUUGGACAAAGAUGUUAUGCUGUGGAAUGUGUUGAUUUUGGGUUAUAUGAAGUUUGGGUGCGCAAGUGAGGUGCAAGGGCUUUUGGUCAAGGCAGAGCAAGGUGGGGUUCCUGGGUUUGUUUGAAUUUGUUUGAAUCCAGUAGAUUUUCGAUAGUCGAUGGAUUUUUAUUCGAAAAUUAAAUAAAUAUAUAUGUAUAUUAACUUGUGACAAUGGUUCAAUGCUGAAGAAGUGACUGGAGAGCUAGAGUUGUGGGUUUGAAACCCUUUAAUCCGAACCACCCUCUCUUUUAGAAUUCCAAAACUCUUAAUCCUGGCUUUGCCUAAGAACAAGAAUCUUAUUGAAGCUCGAUUCAUUUUUGAUGAGAUGAGUAAGAAAGAUGUGAUUUCUUGUAUAGCAAUGAUAAAAGGAUAUGUUUAAUAUGGAGAGUUAUGAAGGCUUUGAAAUUGUUUUAGUUGAUAUUGAACUCGAGUUCUCAUCAUAAUCAUUUUAUGUAUUUAACUGUUUUAGAUGCAUUCACAGGUUACUCUGCUAUUUUGGUAGGUAAUCAAGUUCAUGUGUGCAUCUUGACGUAGUCUUGUUGACCUCCCUUGUUGACAUGUAUGCUAAAUGUGGAGAAACUAAAGUUGCUUUCUGCAUUUUUGAGUCCAUCCCUGCAAGAAAUUCGAUCAUUGGAGAUUAUGCAAACAUUGGCUUGCAGAGAAUGCAAUGCAUGAGUUUGAGAGGAUGCUGAAGAGUGGUGUCAGGUCUGGGGGCAUUGCUAGGAUCAUGUGGCUUGCACUCAUGUCUAGAGCUCGGAGAGAUUGCAGCAAACGGUAUCUACACAUUGGAGCACAACCAUCCUGCAGUAUACUCGGUGCUUUCCACAAUCCACGGAGACAAAGGAGUGUGCAGUGACAUAACUAGUUUCGAACUUUGGAUAACUUGAUGAAGAAAUGGCAUGCUACAAAGUAGAAGGCUAGUAAAAUGCCUGUCUACUAUGAGGCAAGUGGCUUUCUACAUAACACUUUCCUUUAGAAAUUAUUAAAAAUCUAUACAUGUCACGACCCAAAUUCGGUCACGACUGGCACCCACACUUACCCUCCUAUGUGAGCGAACCAAUCAAUACAAAACCCAACAUUUCAAUAUAGUAACACAAUAUAAUGCGGAAGACAUAAACUCAUUAAUGAAAAUCAAUUGAAUAACUUCUAAAACUCAAACUUAUCAUUAUCCCCAAAAUCUGGAAGUCAUAAUCACAAGAACAUCUAUCUCAAAUUACUAAAUCUAAGAGUAUCUAUGAAGCUAAAAUAAAUGAAAAGCUAGUCCAUGCCGGAACUUCAAGGCAUCAAGACACGAAGAAGAAGACCCAGUCCAAGCUAGAAGCAUUAGCUCACCCUGAAAUCCGGUGUAAUGAAGACUGGCUAGACUUGCGGUUGAGUUGAAGACGACAGUACGUUUGCUGCACUCCACAAAUACAAAGAAAGAAACAUACAAGUAGGGGUCAGUACAACCACAAGUACUGAGUAGAUAUCAUCGGCCAACUCAAGAUAGAAAACAGUAUAUAUCAGAUAAUAUCAUAAAAUCAACUGCAAUACUCAACAUGCGGCAUUUACAAUUACCUUAUUGGUCACAACACCAAGCACAUCAAUGAGGACUCACGCCUCCCCAUCAUACUCAUUUGGGAAUUAGGUUCAUUAAAUUGAAUAUAUUAACAUCUUUCAAGAUUCAUUAUCUUUAUUCCUCUCGUGUCGGUACGUGACACUCCGAUCCUCAUCAUACUAUCCUGGUGUCGGAACGUGACACUCUGAUCCCCUAAUUCUACGUGUCGGUUCGUGACACCCGAUCCCCUAAUUCUACGUGUCGGUUCGUGACACCCAAUCCCCUAAUUCUACGUGUCAGUUCGUGACACCCGAUCCCCUAAUUCUACGUGUCGGUUUGUGACACCCGUUCCCCUAAUUCUACGUGUCGUUCGUGACACCCGCUCCACUAAUCUCAUUCUAUUAAUUCAUCAAGACUUCUCUUAUACCAAGGCAUCAUCAUCUCAUUACUUUAGUUCAUCAAGCCUUCUUUUAUACCAAGGCAUCAUCAUCUCAUUACUUUAGUUCAUCAAGCCUUCUUUUAUAUCAAGGCAUCAUCAUUAACAAGGGGUUUUCAAGAUUUGGGAUUCAAUAGCUUCAUCAUGCUUAUUUUAUCACAAUUACAUAAUCACAUUCAUGCAAGCAUACAAUUAAGCAUAUAGAAGGGUUUACAACACUACCCAAUACAUAUCAUUCGCUAUUAAGAGUUUACUACGAAUAGCAUAAAAACCAUAACCUAUCUCCACUGAAGAAUGGUGAUCAAGCAAUCUACUUUCCAAGACUUUUCGUUUUCCUCUUCAUUCUUCUAUCUCUCUCGAUCAAUCUCCCUCUCUUGGUUCUUUCUAUUUUUCUUAUUCAAACCCUCUUUCUUUUACCCUAAUUAACAUAUAAUUAAGUAUAAAAGAUGAGGAAUUAACCCAUUAAUUAACUCAAGGUUACCUCUUUUAACCCCCAAGUAUUUGAGUUAUUAAUAUUAAACCACUAACUUUAUAAUUAUAAGCCGGAAUAGUCCAAAACGCCCUUUAAAAUAAUUACAGAAAUCCGACCCAGCCUGGGAUUACGCAGCCUGUGAUGGCCCGUCGUGCCUGCGACGGUCCGUCCUGCUGCUCCGUCACAUAGUUCAGAGACUCAAUUCCACUAAAGGGUCUGUGACGGUCCGUCGUGCCCACGAUGGUCCAUCCUGCCAUUCCGUUACGAAGUUCAGAGAGUCGAUUUCAGUACCCAAAUUUUCAGAAUUCUAAGUGUUUUGGAACGAGACCCCUCGACGGUCCGUCGUGCCCAUGACGGUCCGUCGUGGGAUCCGUCAACUAAGACAGUUUUUCCAGAAAUAAAAUCUGCUGCUCAAAACGACUAAACAGGUCGUUACAAUAGAUAACAAUUUACCCAUCGUUCGUCCUCGAACGAUCAUAAGAAGAAAAACAAGGGUGAAAAGAAGUACCUAAAUCUGUAAAUAGGUGUGGGUAUCUUUCUUGCAUAUCAGCCUCUUUCUCCCAAGUGGCUUCUUCAACGGGUCGAUUCUUCCAUUGAACUUUGAUGGAUGCAAUCUCCCUUGACCUCAACUUGCGAACUUCUCUUUCUAAAAUAGCAGCAGGUUCCUCCUCAUAUGACAAAUUCUCAUCAAGCAAAACUGAAUCCCAACGGAUAAUGUAGUUUCCAUCCCCAUGGUAUCUUUUCAACAUAGACACAUGAAAUACCGGAUGCACUCCGGACAGCCCUGGAGGCAAGGCUAACUCAUAAACCACCUCCCCUACUCGCUUAAGUACUUCAAAGGGACCUAUAUACCUUGGGCUUAGUUUACCUCUUUUACCAAACCGCAUCACUCCUUUCAUGGGUGAAACCAGCAAGACUUGCUCACCCUCCAUAAACACCAAGUCUCUAACCUUUCGAUCUGCAUAUUCCUUUUGCCUACUUUGCGCCGCUAAAAGCUUUUCUUGAAUAGAUUUCACUUUCUCUAAUGAAUCCCUCAAAAGGUCAGUACCCCAAGGUCUAACCUCAAAUGCAUCAAACCAACCAAUGGGCGACCUACAUCUCCUCUCAUACAAUGCUUCAAAUGGGGCCAUAUCAAUACUUGAGUGAUAGCUAUUGUUGUAGGAGAACUCUGCUAAGGGUAACAAGCUAUCCCAAUGGCCACCAAAUUCUAUCACACAUGCACGAAGCAUAUCCUCCAACACUUGAAUCAUUCUCUCAGACAGACCAUCGGUCUGAGGAUGGAACGCAGUACUAAGGUCCAACCUAGUACCCAAUUCCGCAUGCAAUGUUUUCCAAAACUUAGAAGUAAAUUGCGUACCUCUAUCUGAUAUGAUGGAGAGUGGAACCCCAUGCAACCGAACAACUUCCGAAAUGUAAAGUUUGGCUAACUUCUCUGCAUUGUAAGUCACCUUGACCAGAAUGAAGUGAGCAGACUUAGUUAACCUAUCAACAAUCACCCAAAUGGAGUCAUACUUACCCAUUGUCUUUGGAAGACCAACCACGAAGUCCAUUGCAAUUCUCUCCCACUUCCAUUCGGGAAUGGGCAUUCUCUGAAGUGUUCCUCCAGGCCUUUUGUGUUCAUACUUUACUUGCUGACAAUUUGGACAUUUGGCAACAAACUCCACAAUGUCACGCUUCAUUCUACUCCACCAAAAAUGUUGCUUUAGGUCACGAUACAUCUUGGUUGCACCAGGAUGUAUAGAGUACCUUGAACUAUGAGCCUCUGUCAGAAUAGUGUUGAUCAAAUCAUCAACGCGGGGUACGCAUACCCUUCCCUUGAUUCUUAAAACACCUUCCUCAUCAAUUGUUGCUUCUUUAGCCUCUCCUCACAACACUUUAUCUCGGAUCCGGAUCAAUUUCUCAUCAUUAAACUGCUUUCCCUUAAUCUUGUCAAGAAAGGAAGAUCUUGCCUCCAUACAAGCCAACAAUCCUCCAUUCUCAUUUACCUCUAACCUCAUAAAGUCGUUAGCCACAGUCUGAACCUCUCUAGCCAAUGGACGUCUAGAAACUUACAAGUGAGCUAGACUUCCCAUGCUUCCUGCCUUUCUACUUAAAGCAUCUGCCACAACAUUAGCUUUUAUCGGAUGAUACAAGAUAGUGAUGUCAUAAUCCUUCAGUAGUUCCAUCCACCUUCUCUGUCUUAAAUUCAAAUCUUUCUGAGUAAAGACAUACUGUAGGCUAGGAUGAUCCGUGUAGACUUCACACUUAACCCCAUAUAAAUAAUGUCUCCAUUGCUUUAAUGCAAUCACUACCGCAGCCAAUUCCAAAUCAUGGGUCGGAUAAUUACGUUCAUGCACCUUUAAUUGCCUUUAAGCAUAAGAAAUUACAUUCUUCUCUUGCAUUAGCACUGCACCCAAACCAGAAUAGGAUGCAUCACAAUAAACAAUGAAGUUAUUACCUUCCACGGGCAAGGUGAGAAUUGGUGCAGUAGUUAACAAAGUCUUGAGCUUCUGAAAGCUUCCUUCACACUCGUCCGACCAUACAAAUGGAACAUUCUGCUUAGUCAAGUUCGUCAAUUGGGAAGCAAUAGAAGAGAAUCUCUUGACAAAUCGACGGUAAUAGCUAGCUAAACCAACAAAGCUCCUUAUUUCUGACACAUUAGUGGUCUUACCCAAUUCUUCACUGUCUCAAUCUUAGAAGGAUCCACCAUCACUCCAUCCUUAGACACCACGUGACCCAAGAAGGACACUGAAUCUAGCCAAAACUCACACUUGGAGAAUUUGGCAUAAAGCUUUUUCUCCCUCAACAUUUCCAAUACCAUUCUCAAAUGCUCCUCAUGUUCUUUAUUGCUCUUUGAGUAUAUCAGUAUAUCAUCAAUAAAUACGAUCACAAAGAGAUCCAGAUAUGGCUUAAAAAUCCCGUUCAUCAAGCUCAUGAAAGCAGCAGGGGCAUUCGUAAGACCAAAAGAAAUCACAACAAAUUCGUAAUGCUCAUACCUGGUCCGAAAAGCAGUCUUUGGCACAUCCGUUGCCCGUAUUUUCAAUUGAUGAUAACAGGAUCUCAAGUCAAUCCUAGAGAAGACACAAGCACCUUGUAACUGAUCGAACAAGUCAUCAAUGCGAGGAAUAGGAUAUUUGUUCUUAAUAGUUACCUUGUUCAACUACCGGUAGUCUAUGCACAUCCGGAAACUCCCAUCCUUUUUCUUCACAAAUAACACCGGAGCACCCCAAGGAGAUGCACUUGGUCUAAUGAAGCCUUUCCCUAACAACUCUUGAAGUUGAGCCUUUAACUCCCUUAACUCGGCGGGAGACAUUCUAUAAGGGGGUAUAGAAAUGGGGUGAGUACCCGAGUCAAGAUCAAUGCAGAAGUCAAUAUCUCUAUCCGGUGGCAUACCAGGAAGGUCUGCGGGAAACGCAUCUAGAAACUCACGGACUAUCGAAACAGACUCAAUUGAAGGUACUUGGAUAGUGUCAUCCCUGAGAUGUGCCAAGAAAGCUAAACACCCCUUACUAACCAUUCUCUUAGCACGAAGAAAGGAGACGAUACUAACCGAAUUGGAAGUGUAGUCGCCCUCCCAUACUAACGGAUCUGUCCCAGGCUUGGCUAACGUCACAGUUUUAGCAUUACAAUCCAAGAUCGCAAAAUUCGGAGAAAGCCAAGUCAUACCAAGAAUUACAUCAAAAUCAACCAUUUCUAAGAUAACCAAGUCUACAUAAGUAUUGCUCCCUGCAAAAGUCACCAAACAAGACCUAUAUACUUUUUCAACUAUCACAGACUCACUCACCGUAGUAGAAACACGAAUAGGCAUGUCAAGCAAUUCACAAUGUAAAUUAAGAACAUUAGCAAAUGAGGAAGAUACAUAUGAAAAUGUGGAGUCGGGAUCAAAUAAUACAGAAGCCAUGCAAUCACAAAUCAAAAGAUUACCAGUGAUAAUAGCAUCCGAUGUCUCCGCUUCAGACCGCCCAGGGAAGGCGUAACAAUGGGCCCUAUCACGUGUUUGGCCGUUGCCCCUACCAUGUUGUGUUGUAGUGGCUCCAGAUUUCCCAUCACCCCGGCCGUUUUGGUGACCACCAUUACUUCGGCCACCAUGUCUUCCAGAAUAACGGCCUCUACCAUGACCACCUCUACCUCUAGCUAUUGGGGGUCUAUAACUCUGUUUUGGACAAUUCCUCCUAAUAUGUCCAGUCUUCCCACAUCCAUAACACUCUCUAGAGUCAAGCAUAGGUCUCUCAGAGAAGUGUUGACCGGUCUGAGGUGGACCCCCAACUACAGUCUGAAGUGAAGACUGAAUUGGUCGGACUGAGUAGCCUCCUGAACCCUGUCCUCUAGAGUAAGAACCAUUAAACUCACCUCCCUUUCGAAAUCUUUUUGAUGUCGAUGCCAUUGUGAAGUCAUCUGGCUUCACUCCUUCCACCUCUAUCACGAAGUCUACCACUUCUUGAAAGGAUUUUUCCGUAGCCGCUACCUGUAAGGCUGAAAUCCGCAAUUCUGACCUCAACCCCUUCACAAAACGGCGAAUCCUCUCUUGUGGACUGAAACAAAGUUGGGUGGCAUACCUGGAUAAUGCACGAAACUUAGCCUCAUAUGCAGUAACCGACAUCCUACCUUGCUCUAGGCUCAAGAAUUCAUCUCUUUUCCUAUCCCUCAAAGUCCGGGGGAUAUACUUCUCCAUAAACAAGCUAGAGAAUGAUGCCCAAGUCAUAGGUGGUGCCUCUGUUGGUUGACAUUCAACAUGUGACCGCCACCACAUUUUGGCGUUCCCUUGAAACUGAUAAGUCACAAACUCAACACCAAACCAUUCUACUAUACCCAUCUUGUGUAGUAGCUCAUGACAGUCAACCAGAAAAUCGUAGGCAUCCUCAGAUUCAGCACCCUUGAAGACUGGAGGUUUCAAUUUCAAGAACUUACUGAAAAGUUCAUGCUAAUCAUUUGUCAUUAUAGGCCCAGUAGUCAGACGAGGAAAUGUGCCUAUUUCCAAUGAGGCAUCCAUGCGGGGAGCCACAAUAGCCGCAUGUUGUACCUCUGGAGUCUGAGGUGCUGGUGCAGAAAACACUGGAGGCGCUUGGCCUUGAUCAGAUAACCCGCUAAGAUAAGCAAGAACCUGAUUGAUCAUCUCUGGGGUAGGUUGGGGUGACAAUCCCUCAUUCUGUACUUGUUCAUUCUCCCCUUCUUCACCCUCUCUUACGACUUCCUCAGUUGGUGGAGGAGUCACCGCCCUAGUACCAGAUGGGCUAGGUGCUCGUCCUCUUCCUCUAGAGGACGUCCUCCCACGACCUCUUCCGUGUCCUCUUGCCACUGCUCCUCUUCGAGCUACAGUCUUAGUGCGUGGCUCAGACGCUUCUUGUCUUGCCGAUGUUGGUGUUGGUGCAGUCCUUGUUGCUCUAGUUCUAACCAUCUGCGAAAUAGAGUGAAGAUGGUCAGAUACCAAUUUAUAUCACCUAGAUACCAAUUGGAUCCAAGUAAAAGCACGAAAGAAAGAAUGAAAGAAUGGAAUUUUUCUGAAGUCUUAUAGUCUCUCAAAGAAAAGUAAAGGCGUCCCCCUACCGUUCCUUAAGACUCUACUAGACUCGUUCUUGUGUGAUGAGACCAACGAACCUAAUGCUCUGAUACCAAGUUUGUCACGACCCAAAUCGGGUCGCGACUGGCACCCACACUUACCCUCCUAUGUGAGCGAACCAAUCAAUACAAAACCCAACAUUUCAAUAUAAUGCGGAAGACUUAAACUCAUUAAUGAAAAUCAAUUGAAUAACUUCUAAAACUCAAACUUAUCAUUAUCCCCAAAAUCUGGAAGUCAUCAUCACAAGAACAUCUAUCUCAAAUUACUAAAUCUAAGAGUAUCUAAGAAGCUAAAAUAAAUGAAAAGCUAGUCCAUGCCGGAACUUCAAGGCAUCAAGACACGAAGAAGAAGACCCAGUCCAAGCUAGAAGCAUUAGCUCACCCUGAAAUCCGGUGUAAUGAAGACUGCCUAGAGUUGCGGUUGAGUUGAAGACGACGGUAGGUUUGCUACACUCCACAAAUACAAAGAAAGAAACAUACAAGUAGGGGUCAGUACAACCACAGGUACUGAGUAGAUAUCAUCGGCCAACUCAAGAUAGAAAACAGUAUAUAUCAGAUAAUAUCAUAAAAUCAACUACAAUACUCAACAUGCGGCAUUUACAAUUACCAUAACCCUUGGUCACAACACCAAGCACAUCCAUGAGGACUCACGCCUCCCCAUCAUACUCAUUUGGGAAUUAGGUUCAUUAAAUUGAAUAUAUUAACAUCUUUCAAGAUUCAUUAUCUUUAUUCCUCUCGUGUCGGUACGUGACACUCCGAUCCUCAUCAUACUAUCAUGUUGUCGGAACGUGACACUCUGAUCCCCUAAUUCUACGUGUCGGUUCGUGACACCCGAUCCCCUAAUUCUACGUGUCGAUUCGUGACACCCGAUCUCCUAAUUCUACGUGUCAGUUCGUGACACCCAAUCCCCUAAUUCUACGUGUCGGUUCGUGAUACCCAUUCCCCUAAUUAUACGUGUCGGUUCGUGACACCCGCUCCACUAAUCUCAUUCUAUUAAUUCAUCAAGCCUUCUCUUAUACCAAGGCAUCAUCAUCUCAUUACUUUAGUUCAUCAAGCCUUCUUUUAUACCAAGGCAUCAUCAUCUCAUUACUUUAGUUCAUCAAGCCUUCUUUUAUAUCAAGGCAUCAUCAUUAACAAGGGGUUUUCAAGAUUUGGGAUUCAAUAGCUUCAUCAUGCUUAUUUCAUCAAAAUUACAUAAUUACAUUCAUGCAAACAUACAAUUAAGCAUAUAGAAGGGUUUACAACACUAUCCAAUACAUAUCAUUCGCUAUUAAGAGUUUACUACGAAUAGCAUAAAAACCAUAACCUACCUCCACUGAAGAAUGGGGAUCAAGCAAUCUACUUUCCAAGCCUUUUCGUUUUCCUCUUUGUUCUUCUCUCUCUCUCUCUCGAUCUCCCUCUCUUGGUUCUUUCUAUUUUUCUUAUUCAAACCCUCUUUCUUUUAACCUAAUUAGCAUAUAAUUAAGUAUAAAAGAUGAGGAAUUAACCCACUAAUUAACUCAAGGUUACCUCUUUUAACCCCCAAGUAAUUGAGUUAUUAAUAUUAAACCACUAACUUUAUAAUUAUAAGCCGGAAUAGUCCAAAAUGCCCCUUAAAAUAAUUAUAGAAAUUCGACCCAGCCUGGGAUUACGCAGCCUGUGACGGCCCGUCGUGCCUGCGACGGUCCGUCCUGCUGCUCCAUCACAUAGUUCAGAGACUCAAUUCCAUUAAAGGGUCUGUGACGGUCCGUCGUGCCCACGACGGUCCGUCCUUCCAUUUCGUUACGAAGUUCAAAGAGUCGAUUUCAGUACCCAUAUUUUUAGAAUUCUAAGUGUUUUGGAAUGAGACCCCCUCGACGGUCCGUCGUGCCCAUGACGGUCCGUCGUGGGAUCCGUCAACUAAGACAGUUUUCCAGAAAUAAAAUUUGCUGCUCAAAACGACUAAAUAGGUCGUUACAAUACAUCUUUAAGUUUUUUCCUUUUUAGCAUCUUAAUUUUUUUGUCCAAUAGAACAUAAAUUUUUAGAAACCAAAUCAUAUGGGAUAUAACAUGUAAGUUCUUGUGCCAAAAAACUUUUAUCAAAUUUGAUCAUUUUCUCUUUUAAAUAUAACUUUAACUGUCAAGGUUUUGAAUUAAAUUCAAAGAUUAGAUAUUCUAUUUAUUUCUUUGAAAUUGAAUCAUGAUAGUUCAUAGAUACACUCACUUCAUUAGUUGUUAAUUUACAUUAUUUGACGCUCAUUAAAAAUUAUUACUAUUUUGAUGUGUAGUCAAAGUUAUUUGUUAUCAAACAUGAGGUCUACAGAAUUGCAAUUUUCAGAAAUACUUUUUAUUUUAUUACCACUAUAUAUAAGGAAAAAUAUCUAAUUUUAUAGUUUGCGCAUGAAUUUUCUUAUCUUUUUCUAUUCAGAUUGAAAUUUGUCAGAUCAUACAUAUUUGAUAAAUUUUAAGAACUUUAAGGACUUUUUAUAUGCUACCAAAAAUGAUGUUGUCAUGAAAAGGAUUAUACAAUCCUACAAAGUGUAUUCAUAUAUUGAAAUUACUUAACUUGUUACAAAUAAUAUUUUACUCUAAGACAUUAUUAUAAGCAUAAACUUAAUGCACAUUAGGAUCUUAGACUAUAAUUUACUCUUAGGCAUUAUAGAAACAUGUCUGAAUACAUUAUCGUGGAAAGUGAUUUUUACAAUAAUGUCUUUAGGUAUGUUUCUAUAAUGCCUCUCAGUAAAUUAUUUUGUCUAAGAUCCUGACAUGCAUUAGGUUUUUGCUUACACUAUAUAAUAUCUUAAGGAAAAAUAUUAUUUGUAACAAGUUUAGUAAUAUUUUCAUAUAAAUUAAAGACUUAAUAUACGAAUGUACUUUGUAGGAUCAUUGUUAACUUUUUCAUGAAAACACAAUUUCUAGUAACAUACAAUUUCUUCCUUGUAGGUCUUACGAAUUUCUUUUUGAAUAAAAAGGACAAGAUAAUUAAUGUGUAGACUAGAAAAGUGGAUAUUCUUCCUUGUAUAUAGGAGUAGUAAUAAGAGGAAAAUUAUUUCCAAAAAGUAGCAAUCACAAUUCACGCAUGAUAAUAAAUCACUUGUGAUUAUAUAAUUUUUUUAAUGAGUAUUAAACAAUGUGAUUUAGCAACUAAUGAACUGAAUGUGUCUAAAUAGAAUAUCUAACCUUUUUAAUAGGACAUCUAGCCUUUUAAAUUUACUUAAAAACUUUGACAAUUAAAGUUAUAUUUAUAAAUAAGUGGUCAAAUUUUUAUUUUUUUACAAUGGUAAAAAGAUCAAUUUAUCCUUUGUUCUACUACAAUUUAAAAUUACUCUAUCAUUAUCUAAAUAAUUCAAAUAUAUUUCACCUCUGUUAAGUUUUUUUUUUGGUUAAAUGACAUAAAUAUUUGUGGAAAGAGGUCAUGCUCUGUAUAGCAGGAUAAGUAGCUAUCACAAGAAGGUAGUUUCCUAUUGUACAUAGUUCCACACAUGUUGCUUUGGUUGUAUAGAUUGGUGGAACUAUCUAAAUAGUAGGGUUUACAAAAGACUGGUAAUUCACUCCUUUGCUCAAUAGAUGAGUCAUUCGAUUCUUCUCCUAGUUGCAUUUGAGAUCUUCACUACACAUGAAUAAUAGAAGAAUGCAUAUUAUCAUGAUUUUGCAUAUUUAUAACUUCUAAAGAGUCGUGAUUGAUUUCAACGGGGGGAAAGAUUGUACUGAAUAGCUAGCCAUGAGCCUCGUAGGGCUUUGAGCUCUUCCAUUAUGGAAUAUGAAGGGCCUUGACAUUUAAUCCAGGGUCCAAUCCCCUCUAUGAUUUCUAAUAAUGCCUUUGAUUUCGUCAAUACUAGAGCUGAACUUGACAGAACCAUCAGUGUUAAGCAUGUAAGUCUCACGAGGAGUGGAUUUCCAUUUGACUAAGAUUGUAUAUGGUUGUCCUUUAGGUAUGGGAGUUUGGUCGAUGAGAAGAUGGUACUCAAUAACUUAGAGGUGUUCCUUGUCCUUUCGUUUAAUAAGUUGUUAUUCCUUUAAAACCAAAUAUUCCAAAAAAAAAAAGAAAAAGAAAAGAGAAGCAUGAAAUUCCAAGAGAGCAUAACAUUAUAGGGUUCCUUUGAUUUCUAUUUUUAGAGACUCGUGGACUUUUGCAGGCAUUUUGAUGUACUACAUAAUGUGAAAAAGGAUAUGCUUCCUAGAGAAACCAUAGCUAGCAUAGUUCAUACUGUCAAAAAUUGGUUGGGAGUCACUAUUGUCAGCCUUCAUUUGAAAAUAUAUUUUCUUAUAUUUCUACUAUAUAUAAAGGAAGGAUAUUCAAUUUUGUAUUCCACACAUAAAUUUUCUUGUUCUUUUUAUUCAAGAUAAUUUGCUGAGAGGCGUUAUAGAUAUAUACAUCAAGAUAUUAUCGUGGAGAGUGGCUUCUAUGCCGCCUUAUCGUAGUCGUAAUCACAGUUGUCGGCGGCGCAAAAGUGUAGAGAAUUAUACAAUAACCAUAGUGAGUGGAAGAAGAACCAAUUUAUAAAACAAAUAAUUAAUAUAUUAAUAUGCCUUUUAACUUAACCUCAACUAAUAUUUAUGCUUUGAAUAUGCACAAGUAAACAUUUAAACUUGUAUAAAGUUGAAUAAGUAAACACGAGUUCUACAUGACACAAUACAUGUAGGAAAAAAAUGUCUAUUUAUUCAACUUUAUUGAAGUUUAAGUAUUUACUUGUACAUAACCAAAGUUUGUGGGUAUAAAUUUGAGUUGCGACCAAAUUAAAAGACAUAUUUAUGUAUCAACUACGCCUUUAUACAUUGGUCCUGCUUCGACUUACUAGGGUUAUCAUAUAAUUCUCUACACAUUUUUUGUCGCAGAGAAUUGUGAUAACAUAAUACUAGGACAAGGAGGCGUAAAAAUAACUCUCCACGAUAAUAUCUUCAUGUAAUCUAUAACGUCUCUCAAUAAAUUAUCUUCUCUAAGAUCCAGACGUGCAUUUAAAGUUUGUGUUUACAAUAAAGUUUAUCUUGGCGUUAGAAGUUUUAACUUUUAAGUUUUGACCAAAAUUUUGAAUUGCCUUGCAUUUUUUGCAUACUUGCUCAUAUGAGAAUUCCGUCAGCGCAAUUGGCUUUUGAAGGUAAUCUUUUAUCGAAUAGGAUGGUUAGUUUAGUUUUAGAGGCUUCCAUUUUUAGUUUGUGUUGUUAGGUACUUUUUUUGGUUAAACGACAUGAAUAUUUGUGGAAAGAGGUCAUGCUUUGUAUAGCAGGAUAAGUAACUAUGACAAAUAGGUAGUUUCCUAUUGUACAUAGUUCCACACAUGUUGCUUUGGUUGUAUAUAUUGGUGGAACUAUCUAAACAGUAGGGUUUACAAAAGACUGGUAAUUAAAUCCUUUGUUCAAUAGAUGAUUCAUUCGGUUCUUUUCCCGGUUGCAUUUGAGAUUUGCACUACAGAAGAAUAAUAGAAGAAUGCAUAUUAUCAUGAUUUUGCAUAUUUAUGACUUCUAAAGAGUCGAGAUUGAUUUCAACGGGGGGAAAGAUUAUACUGAGUAACUAGCCAUGAGCCUUGUAGGGCUUUGAGCUCUUCCAUUAUGGAAUGUGAGGGGCCUUGACAUUGAAUUCAGGGUCCAAUCCCCUCUAUGAUUUCUAAUAAUGCCUCUGAUUUCGUCAAUACUAACUGAACUUGACAGAACCAUCUGUGCUAAGCAUUUAAGUCUCACAAGGAGCGGAGUUCCAUUUUGACUAAGAUUGUAUAUGGUUGUCCUUUAGGUAUGGGAGUUUGGUCGAUGAGAAGAUUGUACUCAAUAACUUAGAGGUUUCCUUUUCCUUUUGUUUAAUAAGUUGUUAUUCCUUUAAAAUCAAAUAUUCCAAAAAAGAAAAAGAAAAGAGAACCAUGAAAUUCCAAAAGAGCAUAACAUUAUAGGGUUCCUUUGGUUUCUAUUUUUAGAGAUUGGUGAAAUUUUGCAGGCAUUUUGAUGUAAUUCACAAUGUGAAAGGAGAUAUGCUUCCUAGAGAAACCCUAGCUAGCAUAGUUCUGCUAGCCAUGUUGAGGAACUUGUCUUGUUGUUCAUACUGUCAAUAAUUGGUUGGGAGUCACUAUUGUCAGCCUUCAUUUGGAAAUAUGUUUUCUUAUAUUUUACUAUAUAUAAGGAAGGAUAUUCAAUUUUAUAGUCCACACAUGAAUUUUCUUGUUCUUUAAUCAAAUUGAAAUUUGUAAAACCUUGCAUAUUAAACAGGUUAUAAGCUAUUAAAAAUGAUAUUGUCAUGAAAAAAUUUUCUAAUGAUCCUACAAAGUACAUUAAUGUAUAGAGUUUUUAGUUUAUAUGAAAAUAUUACUAAACUUGUUUUAAAUAAUGUUUACCUCAAUACUUUAUCACAAGUAUAAACUUAAAAGCACAUCAUCAUCUUAGACAAGGUCAUUUGCUGAGAGGCGUUAUAGAUAUAUACAUCAAGACAUUAUCGUGGAGAGUUCUAUGCCACCUUAUCAUAGUCGUUAUCACAAUUGUCGGCGGCGAAAAAGUGUAGAGAAUUAUACAAUAACCAUAGUAAGUGGAAGAAGAACCAAUUUAUAAAAGAAAUAAUUAAUACAUUAAUAUGCCUUUUAACUUAACCUCAAGUCAUAUUUAUGCUCUCUAACUUUGGAUGUGCACAAGUAAAUAUUUAAACUUGUAUAAAGCUGAACAAGUAAAUACGAGUUCUACAUGACACAAUACAUGUAGGAAAAAUAUGUUAAUUUGUUCAGCUUUAUUGAAGUUUAAGUAUUUACUUGUACAUAACUAAAGUUUGUAGGUAUAAAUUUGGGUUGAGACCAAAUUAAAAGAUUAUGUAUCGAUACAUUGGUCCUCCUUUGACUCACUAGGGUUAUCAUAUAAUUCUCUACACUUUUUUUCCGUCGACAAUUGUGAUAACAUAAGACUAGUACAAGGAGGCGUAAAAAUAACUCUCCAUGAUAAUAUCUUCAGGCAAUCUAUAACGUCUGUCAAUAAUUUAUCUUUUCUAAGAUCCUGACGUGCAUUUUAUGUUUGUGCUUACAAUAAAGUUUAUCUUGGCGUUAGAUGUUUUAACUUUUAUGUUUUGAUCAAAAUUUGGAAUUGCCAAACUUUUUUUGCAUACUUGCUCAUAUGAGAAUUCCGUCAGCGUAGUUGGCUUUGGAAGGUAAUGUUUUAUCGAAUAGGAUAGUUAGUUUAGGUUUAGAGGCUUCCAUUUUUAGUUUAUGUUGUUAGGCGUUUUAACUUUUAUGUUUUUGCCAUAGACGUUGGAAUUCUGGAUCGCCAAAAAAGAUCAUGGACUAUAGCAAAAAAAUCAGCAAAAUGAGGGAUUUAUUUAUUUCGAGACUUGUUUUACCUUAAAAUUGAGUCAUUUUCCGUCAUGUCCAAAGAACUCCAUUGAUUACGUCUUAGAGGACAUGCACAAAAAUUUGGGCAAAAAAGAUGUCGAAAUUCUGGAUCACCAAAAUUUAAUGAACAAUUGUACAAGAAAAUUGUCAAAAUGGGGUUUACCUGCUUUAGGGCUCGUUUUACCUUGAAAAUGAGUUGCUUUGGCCCUCAGAGCCAACUGAAUCUAUAGCUAACAUCUUAAUAGACAUCCACAAAAAACUUGAGCAGAAAAGACGUUAGAGUUCUAUAACACACGAAAAUCAGCAAAUUUGAGCAAAAAAAGACGUCAAAAUUUUGGAUCACUGAAGAUCCAUGGACUAUAACAUACAAAAAUUGGCAAAAUUGGGGGGUUUACCUAUUGCGAGACUCGUUUGACCUUUAAAAUGGGUCGUUUUAACUGUCAGGACCAACUAGCUCCAUACCUAACGUCUUAACAGACGUCCAUAAAAAAUUUGCACAAAAAAGACGUAUAAAUCUUGUAUCACCAAAAAACACCAUGGUCUGAAAUAAGGGGUUCACUUGUUCCAGGGAUCGUUUGACUUUCAAAAUGAGUCAUUUUGGGCGUUAGAGUCAAAAGACUCCACAGAAAAAUUUUAACGGACAUUCACAAAAAAUUUGAGAAAAAAAAGACGUCGAAAUUUGUAAUCAUAUAAAAUUCAUUGACUAUAGAAAUGAAAAUCAACAUAGCUAACUGGUUCCCCCCAUGUUUUGGUCGAAUAGGAAGAGAGACCCCCUAUGUUUUGAUCGUCAAGGCCAACUGAUUCCAUAACUAACGUCUUAAUAGAUGUCCACAAAAAAUAUGGGCAAAAAAGACGUCGAAAUUCUAGAACACAAAAAAUUCUUGGACUAUAGUACACAAAAAUUAGCAAAAUUGGGGGUUUAUAUUUUCCAAUGCUCGUUUGACCUUCAAAAAUGAGUCAUUUUGGCUGUCAGGGCCAAUUGACUCCAUAGCUAACUUCUUAACAAACGUCCAAAAAAUAUUUGGGGAAAAAAUUGACAAAAUUCUAGAUCACCAAAAUAGAUCGUGGUCUAUAGCCCAUGAAUUUUUUUGAUACGAAAAUAAAGAAACAAAUUGACCAAUUUUUCAUGGACGUUCGUUAAGAACUUAGAAAUGGAACUAGUUCGUUCCGCGGGAAAAAUAAUGUAUUUUCAAGUUUAAACGAGCCUCGACGCAUGUAAAGGUAGAAUUACCGAUUUUCGUGUGCUAUAGUCAAUGGAUUUUUUAUAAUCCAAAAAUCUCGGGAAAAAAGUCAAAAAUUUUUGUGGACGUUUGUCAAGACCUUAGAAAUGGAACCAGUUCGUCUCGCAGGUAAAAAUGCUGCAUUUUGAAGUUCAAACGAGCCCAAAGAAGACAAAGACAAAUUUUAUUGAUUUUCGUGUGCUAUAUCUCAUAGAUUUUUUUAUCUGUAAAUCCCAAUAUAAAAUGACUGAAAUUUUACAUAGACGUUUGUCAAGAUCUUAGAAAUGAAACAAGUUUGUCUCGCGGAGAAAAAAGGUACAUUUUCAAGUUCAAACGAGCCCAAAGAAGGAAAAGACAAAUUUUAACGAAUUUCUUGUCCUAUUGUAUAUAGAUUUUUUCAUCUGGAAAUACCAAAACAAAAUGGACGAAAUUUUUCAUGGACGUCUAUUAAAACCUUAGAAAUGGAACCAUUUAGUAACACAGGGAAUAUGGUGUAUUUUCAAGUUUAAAGCUAGACCCAAAAUAGAAAAAUAAAUUUUAUCAAUUUUCGUGUGAUAUAGCCAAUUGAUUUUUUUUCUUUGAAAAUCUCUAAACAAAAUUGUCAAAAAUUUUCAUGGACGUCCAUUAAGACUUUAGAAAUGGAACAAGUUCUCUCGGCUAGAAAAAUGGUGCAUUUUCAAAUUCAAACGAGCCACAAAGCAGACAAACAACGAUUUUACUGAGAAAGAUGGCCAAAAUUUUACAUGGACAUUUUUUCAAAACCUUAGAAAUGGAACAAGUUCGUCUAGCGGAGAAAAAUGGUGUAUUUUCAAGUUUAAGCGAGCCUAAAGCAGGCAAAGACAUAUUUUCACGAUUUUUCUAUGCUAUAGCAUAUAAGAUUUUUUAAUCCAGGAAUCACGAAAUAAAAUGACCGAAUUUUUUCAUGGAUAUCUGGUAAGACCUUAGAAAGGAAUCAGUUAGUACUCCGGGAAAAAAUGGUGUAUUUUCAAGUUCAAAAGAGUCCCAGAGCAGGUAAUGGCAAAUUUUACCAAUUUUCGUGUGCUAUAGCCAAUUGAUUUUUUUUUCUCCGGAAAUCCCUAAACAACAUUGACGAAAAUUUUCACGGACGUUUGUUAAGACCUUAGAAGUGGGAACAAUUUUUUUUGCUGGAAAAAAUGGUGCUUUUUCAAGUUCAAACGAGUCUCAAAGCAGACAAAGACAGAUUUUACUAAUUUUUGUUUAUUAUAGCCCAUGAUUUUUUUUAAUUUGAAAAUCCUGAAACAAAAUGACCGAAAUUUUUUAUCAAUGUUUUUUAAGACCUUAGAAAUCGAACCAGUUCCUCCUAGGAGAAAAUGGUAUAUUUUCAAGUUCAAACGAGCCCAAUGCAGGCAAAGACAGUUUUUUCUGAUUUUCAUGGUCUAUACAACAUGAACUUUUCUUAGAUCUGAAAAUUCCAAAAAAAAAAUGACAAAAUUUUUUCAUGGAUGUUUCUUAAGACCUUAGAAAUGGAACCAGUUCAUUACGCGGAGAAAAAUGGUGCAUUUUGAAGUUCAAACGAUCCUCAAAGCAGACAAAGACAAAUUUUAUCAUUUUUCACAUGUUAUAGCCCAUGCAUUUUUUUUAUCUGUAAAUCCCAAAAUAAUGGUUGAAAUUUUAUAUGGACGUCCGUUAAGACCUUAGAAAUAGAACUAGUUCGUUCUGCGAGGAUAAAUAUUGUAUUUUCAAGUUCAAACGAGCUAAAAUAGGCAAAAAUAGAUUUACUGAUUUUUGUUUGCUAUUGUCCAUGAAUUCUUUUUAUUUGUAAGUCCCGAAAUAAAAGGUCUAAAAUUUUUCGUGGACGUUGGUUAAUAUAGAAAUGGAACCAAUUCGUUGCGCAUGAAAAAUGGUUCAUUUUAAAGCUAAACGAGCCCAUAAGAUGGCAAAAAUUGAUUUUAUCGAUUUUCGUGUGCUAUAGAAUAUGAAUUUUUUAACUGAAAAUUCCAAAAUAAAAUGAACAAAAUUUUUCAUGGAUGUCGGGUUAGACCUUAGAAAUGAAACCAGUUGUUCAGCGGGGAAAAAUGGUCCAUUUUUAAGAUCAAAGGCAGUUUUGACUAAUUUUCGUGUACUAUAAGUCCAAAGAUUUUUUUUUAUAUGAAAAUCCCGAAAGAAAAUGACCAAAAUUUUUGAUGAAUGUCCAUUAAGACCAUAGAAACUGAACCAACUUUUUCUAGUGGGGAAAUAGAUUUCAAGUUCAAGCGAUUCUCAAUGCAGACCAAGGUAGGUUAUAUCAAUUUUCGUGUGAUAAUUUUUCUAACUCUGAAAUUCCGAAACAAAAUGAAUGAAAUGUUUCAUGGACGUCCAUAAUGACCUUAGAAAUCGAACUAGCUAAUCUCACAGGAAAAAAUGGUGAAUUUUCAAGUUGAAACAAGCUCCAAAGCAAGAAAAGACAGAUUUUUCCAAUUUUCGUGUGCAGCCCAUGAAUUUUAUUUUCUAUAAAUCCCGAAAAAAAAUGGUCAAAAUUUUUCAUGCAUGUCCAUAAAGACCUUAGAAAUGAAACUAGUUCGUCCCACAGGGAAAAAUGUUUCAUUUUCAAGUUCAAACGAGCUUUAAAAGUAGGGAAAGACACAUUUUAACGAUUUUCUAUGCUUUAGCCAAUGAAUUUUUAUUUAUUGGAAAAUCCUGAAACAAAAUGAAUAAAAUUUUUCAUGGACGUCCUUUAAGACCUGAGAAAUUGAACAAGCUUGUUCCUCUUGGAAAACUGGUGCAUUUUCAAGUUCAAACGAGCCUCAAAGAAGAAAAAGUCUGAUUUAACGAAUUUUCAUGUGCUAUAGCCCAUGAUUUUUUUUUGUUUACAAAAUUUGAGAAAAAACAGCCGAAAUUUUUCAUGGACGUCCGUUAGGACCUUAGAAAUAGAAAAAGUUCAUCCCACCGAGGAAAUAAGGCAUUUUCAAGUUCAAACGAGCUUCAAACCAUGUAAAGAUACAAAUUUUAUCAAUUUUCGUGUGGUAUAGCGCAUUGAUUUUUUUAUCUGAAAAUGUAAAAAAAAAAUGGCCAAAAUUUUUCAAGAGCGUCUUUUAAGACCCUAUAAAUGGUGCAUUUUCAAGUUUGAACGAGUCUCAAAGCAGGCUUUGACAAAUUUUAUGGAUUUUCUUUUGCUACAGUCAAUAAAUUUUUUAUCUAAAAAUCUUAAAUCAUAAUGACUGAAAUUAAUCAUGGACAUCCGUUAAGAUCUUAGAAAUGAAACCAAUUCGUAUUGUAGGGAAAAUGGUGCAUUUUCAUGUUAAAACGAGCCACAAAGCAGGUUCAGGCAAAUUUUACCGAUAUUUUUUUGGUUAUAACUCAUGGACUUAUUUUUUCUCUGGAAAUCCAAAAACAGAAUGACCAAAAUUAUUUAUGGACGACCAUUAAUAUCUUAGAAAUGGAACCAAUUCGUUUCGAGGGUAAAAUUGUGCAUUUUCAUGUUCAAACGCCCCCAAUGAAGGAAAAACAAUUUUUGUAUGCUAAAACUCAUGGAAUUUUUUUAUCCGGAAAUUACUGAGCAAAAUGGUCAAAAUUUUUCAUGGACGUUUGUUUACACCUUAGAAGUGGAACCAGUUUUUUCCAUGGGGGAAAUUAUGCAUUUUCAAGUUUAAGUUAGUCUUAAAGUAGGCAAAGACAGAGUUUAUCGAUUUAAUUAUGAUAUAGCCAACGAAUUUCUUUUAUCCAGAUAUCCCAAAAUGAAAUGACCAAAUUUUUUCACGUACGUCCCUUAUGACCUUAGAAAUUAAAUCAGUUUGUCUCGCGGAGAAAAUUUAUUUAUUUUUAAAUUCAAACAAGCCCAAAGAAGACAAAGAAAGAUUUUACCGAUCAUCGUAUUCUAUAGCCCAUGAUAUUUUUUAUCUAAAAAUUUCAAAAUAAAAUAGCCAAAAAAAUGUCAUGGACGUUCAUUAAGACUUUAGAAAUGGAACUAAUUCAUCCCGCGAAGAUAAAUGGUGAAUUUGAAAGUUCAAAAGAUCUCCAAAUCAAGCAAAGGUAGAUAUUAUCAAUUUUCGUGUGCUAUUAGCCAAUGAUCUUUUUUAGAUUUGGAAUUCCAGGAACAAAUCACCAAAGUUUUUCAUGGACGUCCGUUAAGAUCUUAGAUAUUGAAACAGUUUGUCGCGCAGGGAAAAAUGGUGCAUUUUCAAGUUCAAACGAGUCCCAAAGCAGGCAAAAUCAUAUUUUACCGAUUUUGAUAUGCUAUUGUUCAUGAAUUUUUUUUAUUUGGAAAUGCCGAAACAAAAAUCAUCGUAAUUUUUCAUGGACGUCCGUUAACACCUAAGAAAUGGUAUAGGUUCAUCGCGCGAGAAAACAUGGUGCAUUUUUCAAGUUCAAACGGGCCCUAAAGUAGACAAUGACAUAUUUUACCGAUUUUCAUAUGAUAUAGCCAUUGGAUUUCUUGAUUUGAAUCUUCUAACAAAAUAAAAUAAAUUUCUAAAUAAACGUCCAUUAAGACCUUAGAAAUGGAACCACUUUGUACGAUAGGUAAAUAUGGUGAUCAACCUGAAAGAAGGUAAAGACGAAUUUUGCCGAUUUUCGUGUGCAAUUGUCAAUAAAUUUUUUUAUCCAAAAACAAAAUGACCUAAGUUUUUCAUGGACGUCCCUUCAGACCUUAGAAAAGAAACUAAUUUUCCGCGCGGGGAAAAAUAGUGCAUUUUGAAGUUCAAACGAGCCUCAAAGAUGGCAAUGACAUAUUUUACUAAUUUUCGUUAAAGCCAUCAAUAUGGGCUAGGCGCGUUGAGCCGGUUCGGCCUAACCAGCGAUUUAAUAGGGCUGGACUAAGAUUUUUGAAGUCCAUUUAAUAAAAAAGCUUUUUAGCCCGGCCUGAAUAAGUCUGCUCAUUUGGGGGGCUUGAGAAAUAUCAGUAGGGGCGGCUUGUGGACCAAUAAAAAUUAAUUAAAAAAUAUAAUACAAUAUUAAAAUUUAAAAAUAAAGAGAUUCCAAAUUCAAAACAAUUAGGUUAAUAUUUCUAUUUAGAUAUUUAUACUUUUAGUUGAAAAAAAAUUAUUAAAUAUCAAGGAAAAUGCACAAGUGCUCCCUAGACUAUGAUCAAAAUCCCAAAGACACACCUUAACUAAACUAAGAUCCUAUUACCCCCUGAACUCUUUUUUUUUGCAAUGUUAUACACCUUUCGUCUUAUCUGGCACUCUAUGUGACUCCACGCAAUUGAGGGGCGUCGGAGAUAUUUGGAUACCACAUAAGCCAAAGAGGUACACAAAAUUACAAAAAAAAAGUUCAGGGGGUAAUACGACCUUAGUAAGGUGUGUCUUUGGAAUUUCGCUCAUAGUCUUGGGGGUACUUGUGCAUUUUCCCUAAAUAUUAUAAAGAUAACUGAAUUUGAAUACGCAUUUAAAUAUUAAGAUGUGCAUUAAGUUCUAGAUGUAUAAAUCUGAAUAAACAUCUGAAUAUUAAAAUAUUGUCUCUAAAUCUGAACACUAAAUUAUUGGGACUGUUUGUUUUCAAUAUAUGAAUGCACAUAUGAAAUUAAAUGUUAUAUCAAUAAAUAUUAUCAAAACCUUGUUAGUAAAAGAGUUUUUUUCAUAUAAAAUAAUAUUUUGAACAUUUUUUACCGUAACAAGGUAAUAUGAUGUAUCUUUUAAGAACUCAACAUCAAGCUACAUCAUUAACAUGACUAUUUUUGCACUCAAAAUACUUUGACAAUCUAAUAUAAUGCAAUUUAAAAUAGUUUAUAUAGAGUAUUAAAUAUAUAUUUUAGGAAAAUAAUUUAUUUUAUUUUAUUAUAGAAAUUUAUUAUUGUUAUCAAUCAAAUAACUAAUACUUUCUUAUUUUUUGAAAUCGUGCUAAUUAUUAUAUCAUGAGAGUGCUUAUCAAUUCAAAUAUAUUGAUUAAUUUAUGAAGUAAAAGAUGUAUAUUAAGUUAACAUGAAUAAAGAAAAUUAUAAUGUCAAGCAUGUAAUUAAAUAAGAAAACAACUUUUAUGAGUUGCUGUGAUUUAGUUGAUCUAAGAUCGGAGUCGUAUUUUUUAGUCUGAAUAGUGUUAAGGUGUGUUACAGAUCUGAUUCAUUCAGAUAUAUCCAGACCCAUUAAGAGGCUUAUAAGAAAAUAAAACAAACGAACUUAAUGAACUUAAUCUGAAUAAUUAAGAUCCAGUGCAAUCAAAUGAGGCCUAACAUAAUGUAAUAUUGUUUUGUCGAUAUUUAAGAUAAUAUUUUUAAAUUAUAAUUUAUAAUUUAAUUUAAUAAUUAUAAAAAAAUAUAAUUUUUUAAAAAGUGGGCUGGCUCGGCAAGCCUGUAGCCCACGUACUUGUGGGCUGGACCGACCAUUUCUGGCCCAAAUAAAAAAUGAGCUAGCCCGGUUUGACCCGUAAAAUAUCAAAGCCUGUAUGGGUUAGCCCGGAUGGGGUGGACUAGCCCAUAUUGACAGCUCUAAUUUUCGUGUGUGAUGUUCUAUGGAGUUUUUUCAUCCAGAAAACAUGAAACGAUAUAGAUAAAAUUUUUCAUUGACGUCCGUUAAGAUCAUAGAAAUAGAAUUAAUUUGUCCCGCAGAGAAAAAUGAUGCAUUUUUAAGUUCAAACGAGCCCCACAGAAGACAAAGACAUAUUUUACCGAUUUUCUUGUGCUAUAACACAUGCAUUUUUUUAAAAUUCGGAAAUUCUGAAAUGAAAUGGCUGAAAUAUUUUUCAUCGACAUCUGUUAAGAUCUUAGAAAUGGAACUAGUUCAUCCUGGGGGGAAAAUGGUGCAUUUUCAAAUUUAAACGAGCCCAAAGCAGGUAGAGGCAAAUUUUUUUCGAUUUUCGUGUGCUUUAACCCAUGAUUUUUUAAAAUCUAGAAAUCAUGAAAUAUAACAACUAAAAAUUUUCAUGGACGUCUGUUAAAACCUUAGAAAUUGAACAAGUUCAUCCCACGAGAAAAAAUGUUAAUUUUCAAGUUCGAACGAGCUCCAAAGCAGGCAAAGACAAAUUUUUUCAAUUUUCGUAUUUUAUAACCCAUAAUUUUUUAUAAGGAAAUUUUGAAACAAAAUUGCCGAAAUUUUUCAUGGACAUCUGUUAAGACCUUAGAAAUUAAACAAGUUUGUCUUGCAGGAAAAAAUGAUGCAUUUUCUAAUUCAAACGAAUCUCUAAGAAAGAAAAGACAGAUUUUACCGAUUUUUGUGUGCAUAUCCCAUGGGUCAUAUUUGAUUCGGAAAUAACGAAAUAAAAUUGUCAAAAUUAUUAAUGGACGUCCGUUUAGAGAUAUGAAGUCGAAACAGUUCGUCUCACGGAGAAAAAUGGUGCAUAUUAAAGUUCAAAUGAGUUAUAAAGCAGACAAAUAGAGAUUUUACUCAUUUCAUGUGCUAUAAGCCUGUGAAUUUUUUUCAUCCGGAAAUCUCAAAACAAAAUGGCCAAAAAUUUUGGUUGUCCGCUAAGACCGUAGAAAUGAAACCAGUUCCUCCCGAGGGAAAAAAUUUAUGCAUUGUCAAAUUCAAAUGAACCCAAAGUAGGCGAAAGCAGAUUUACAUAUUUUCGUGUGCUAUAACCCAUGGAUUUUUUUAAUCCGAAAAUUUGGAAAUAAAAUUGCCGAAAUUUUUCAUGGACGUCCAUUAAGACCUUAUAAAUUUAACAAGUUCGAACCGUAGGGGAAAAAUAGUUUAUUUUCAAGUUCAAAUGAAUCCCAAAAGCAGACAAAGAGAAAUUUAUCGAUUUUUAUGUGUUAUAGCCUAUUAAUGUUUUUAUAUCCGGAAAUCCCGAAAUAAAAUUGUAAAAAUUAUUCAUGGACAUUAUUUUAGACCUUAGAAAUAAAACCAGUUUAUCCUUCGGGGGAAAUGUUGUAUUUUCAUAUUCAAAAGACCCAAAAGCUGACAAUGACAUAUUUUAGUUAUUUUCAUAUGUUAUAGCACAUGAAUUCUUUUAUGAGGAAAUCCAGAAAUAAAUGACCAAAAUUAUUCAUGAUAUACUUUAAUACCUUAGAAAUUAAACCAGUUGGUCCUGCAAGGAAAAAUUGUGCAUUUUCAAGUUCAAACGAGUGCCAAAGAAGGCAAAUGCAGAUUAAACUAAUUUUCGUGUGCUAUACCAUGAAUUGUUUUUGAUUCAAAAAAUCCAAAACAAAAUGGCAUCAUUUUUUUUGGACGUUCCUUAGGACCUUAGAAAUUGAACCACUUCAUCCCGCUUAGAAAAAUGGUGCAGUUUAAAUUCAAGCGAGCUCUAAAGCACGCAAGACAAAUUUUAUCGAUUUUUGUGUGCUAUAACCCAUGAAUUUUUUGAUCCAGAAAUUCUGAAAUAAACGGCCAAAAUUUGUCAUGAACGUCCAACAAAACCUUAGAAAUGGAACUAGUUCGUCCCGACGGGAAAAAUGAUCUAUUUUCAUGUUAUAACGAACCCCAAAGUAGGUAAAGAUAGAUUUUUACCAAUUUUCGUAUGCUAUAUAGCCCAUGAAUUUUUCUAUCCGAAAAUUCAAAAAUAAAAUGUUUGAAAUUUUUCAUGGACGUCAUUUAGGACCUUAGAAAUGGAACCGGUUCGUCACUCGAGGGAAAAUGGUGCAUUUUAAAGUUCAAACGAGCCCGAAAGCAUGCCAAAAAAGAUUUUACCGAUAUUUGUCUGAUAUAGCCUAUGAAUAUUUUUUUAUUCAGAAAUUCUUAAACAAAAUAGCCAAAAAUUAAUGGACAUCAAUUAACACCUUAGAAAUGGACAAGUUCAGCCCGCGGGGGUAAAAUGGUGCAUAAUCAAGUUUAAACGAGCCCAAAAUAGGUAAAGUCUAAUUUAAUCGAUUUUCGUUUACUAUAGCCCAUGAAUUUUUUUGAUCCAUAAACCCUGAAAUAAAAUGGCCGAAAUUUUUCAUGGACGUCCGAUAAGAGCUUAGAAAUGGAACCAGUUCGUCUCAGUGGAAAAAUGGUGCAUUUCAUGUUCAAACGAUCCCCUAAGAAGGCAAGGAAAAUUUUACCAAUUUUAGUGUUCUAUUGUCCUAGAUUUUUUUUUAUCAAGAAAUUCCUAAACAAAAUUGACACAAAUUUUCAUGGAUGCCUGUUAAUACCUUUGAAAUUGAACAAGUUCGUCUUGCAGGGAAAAACAAUGCAUUUUCAAGUUUAAUCGAGCCCAAAGCAGGAAAAUGCAAAUUUUACUUAUUGUCAUGUGCUAUAUAGCUCAUGAAUUUUUUUAUCCGAAAAUUCCAAAACAAAAUUUCCAUAUAUUUCAUGGACAUCCCCACGAAGAAAUUAGAAAUGGAACAAGUUUGUGCCGAGAGAAAAAAUGGUGUAUUUUUAAGUUCAAACGAGCCCCACAUAUUUUACCAAUUUUCGAUAGCUAUAAUCCAUAAUUUUUUUAUCCAAAAAUAAAAUGGCUGGUAUCUUUCAUGAACGUCUGUUAAGACCUUAUAAAUAAAAUCAAUUCGUUCAUCGGAAAAAAUGGUGCAUUUUAAAGUUCAAACAAGCCAUAAAGCAGGCAGAAAGAUUUUAUCGAUUUUUUUGUUCUAUAACCCAUUACUUUUUAGGUUCGAAAUCUCAAAUAAAAUAGCCGAUUUUUUUAUGGACAUCCGUAAAAACCUUAUAAAUAGAACCAAUUUAUAGCGCGGGAAAAAUGGUACAUUUUGAAGUUCAAACGAUCCCCAUAGUAGGCAAAGUCAGGUUUUAGGGAUUUUUCGUGUGCUAUAGCCCAUAGAGUUCUUUUGACCUAGAAAUAACAAAACAAAAUGGCCAAAAUGUUUCAUCGACUUCGUUAAGACAUUAGAAAUGGAACAAGUUCGUCCCCACAAAGAAAAAUGGUGCAUUUUCAAGUUUAAACGAGCUUUAAAGCAGGAAAAAAUAAAUUUGACCAAUUUUCGUUCGCUAUAGUCCAUGUAUUUUCUUUUAUCAGGAAAUUCCAAAAUAAAAUGACCAAAAUUUUCAUGGACGUCUGUUAUGAUCUUAUGCAUUUUCAAGCUAAAACGAGCCCCAAAGCAGACAAAGACAUAUUUUACCAAUUUUCUUUUUCUAUUGUCCAUGACUUUGUUUAAUCUUGAAAUCUCGAAACUGAAUGACCGAAAUUUUCAUGAACAUCCGUUAAGAUCUUAGAUAUGAAACCAGUUCAUCAUGUAGGGAAAGAUGGUUCAUUUUCAAGUUCAAACGAGCCCCUAAGAAGGCAAAGGCAGAUUUUAUCAAUUUUGAUGUGCUAUACCCCAUGGUUUAUUUUGAUCUAGAAAUACCGAUAUAGAAUGACCAAGAUAUCUAAUGGACGUCCGUUAAGACUUUAGAAAUAGAAACAAUUCAUCCCGAGGAUAAAAAUGGUGUAUUUUCAAGUUCAAACGAGCCCAAAGCGAUAAAGAAAAAUUUUACCAAUUUUCGCGUGUUAUAACCCAUGAAUUUUUUUAUCCGGAAAUCCCAAAAAUGAAUGGAUGACAUUUUUCAUGGACGUGCGUUUAGACAUUAGAAAUGGAACUAGUCCGUCCUGUGGGAAAAUGAUGCGUUUUCAAGUUCAAACGAGUCCCAAAUCAGGCAAAGACAGGUUUUGUCGAGUUUUGUGUGCUAUAACCCAUGAAUUUUUUUAAUCAAAAAUCCCGAAAUAGAAUGACCCAAAAUUUUCAUGGACUUCCGUUAAGACCAUAGAAAUGGAACCAGUUCAUCCCGCAUUGAAAAAUGGUGCAUUCUAAAGUGCAAACGAGCCCAAGUAGGAAAAUGCACAUAAUACUGAUUUUCUGUGAUAUAGACCGUGAAUUUUUUUUAUCUUCAUAUCCCAAAAUAAAAUGACCAAAAUGUUAAAUGGACGCCCGUUAAGACCUUAAUCCCGUGGGUAAAAUGUUUCAUUUUCAAGUUCAAAUGAUCCCCAAACUAACACUGGCAGAUUUUACCAAUUUUCAUGUGCUAUAGCUUAUGAAUAUUUUUUUAUCCUGAAUUCUUAAAAAGUGGCUGAAAUUUAUCAUGGACGUUUGUUAAGACCUUAGAAAUAGAACCAGUUCAUCCCGCGGAAAAAAAUUAAGCAGUUUCAAGUUCAAAUGAGCCAAAAGCUGAUAAAGGCAGAUUUACCGAUUUACAUGUUCCACACUCCAUGAAUUUUUUUUAAUUCGGAAAUCACGGAAUAAAUAGACCAAAUUUUUCAUGUAGACAUUAGAAAUGGAACCAGUUCGUUCCGUGGGGAAAAUGGUAUUUUCUUAAGUUCAAUGGAGCCCCAAAGCAGGCAAAGGUAGAUUUUACCGAUUUUUGUGUACUGUAGCCAAUGAAUUUUAAUUGAUAUAGAAAUCCCAAAACAAAAUAGCUGAUAUUUUUCAUUGACGUCCAUUACAACCUUAGAAAUGGAAACAGUUUGUCCCGCGGGGAAAAAUGGUGCAUUUUCAAAUUCAAACGAGUCUCAAAGCAAGCAAAGACAAAUUUUACAAAUUUUCAUGUUCAUAGAUUUUUUUGAUCCGAAGUCCAAAAUAAAAUUGUUGAAAUUUUUUAUGGACAUUUGUUAAGACUUUAGAAAUGAAACAAAUUCGUUCCGGGGGGAAAAUGCAUUUUCAUGUUCAAACGAGCCCCCAAAAAGGCAAAGGUAGAUUUUAUCAUUUUUGUGAUCUAUAAGCCAUAAAAAAUUUAUCUGAAAAUCCCAAAACAAAAAUGCUAGAAAUUUCACGGAUAUCAAUUAAGAUUAUAAAAAUGGAACCAGUUCGUCCCGCGGAAAAAAUGGUUCAUUUUUAUGUUUUAACGAACCCCAAAGUAGGAUAAGGUAGAUUUUACAGAUUUACGUUUGCUAUAGACAAACUUUUUUAUCCAAAAAUUCAAAAAAGAAUGGCCGAAAUUUGUCAUGGAUGUCUGUUAAAAUUUACAAAUAAACUACUUCAUCCCACAUGAAAAAAUUGUGCAUUUAUAAGUUCAAAGAAGCCUCAAAGCAGACAAAGGUAAAUUCUACCAAUUUUUGUGUGCUAUAACCCAUGAACUUUUUUUAUCCAGAAAUCCCGAAACAAAUUGGUCAUAAUUUUUCAUGAACGUCCGUUAGAACCUUAGAAAUGGAACCAGUUCGUCCCGGGGGAAAAAAUGAAGCAUUUUCAAAUUCAAACAAGCCCCAAAGAAGACAAAGGUACAUUUUAUCGAUUUUCGUGUUUUAUAGCCCAUGAAUAUUUUUAAUUCCGAAAUCCCAAAAUAAAAUGACAAAAAAUUUUCAUGGACAUCCGUUAAGAUAUUAGAAAUGGAACCAGUUCAUCUCGUAAGGAAUAAUAGUGCAUUUUCAAGUUCAAUUGAUCUCUAAAGCAGGCAAAGAUAAAGUUUAUCGAUUUUUAUGUGCUAUACCCAUUGAUUUUAUUUGAUCCGAAAAUUCCAAAACAAAAUGGCUGAACUUUUACAAGAACGUCAGUUAAGAUCUUAGAAAUGAAACCAAUUCGUCCCAUGGGAAAAAAUGGUGCAUUUUCAAGUUCAGACAACUCAAAGUAGGCAAAGACAUAUUUUUUCGAUUCUAUUGCUGAUAGAUUUUUUAUAUCCAGAAAUUCCAAAAAAAAAUUGUCAAAAAUUUUCAUGGACAUCCGUUAAGACCUUAGAAAUAAAAAGAGUUCAUCCCGAAGGGAAAAUGGUGGCUUUUCAUGUUAAAACGAGCCCAAAGCUGACAAAGAUAGAUUUUACCGAUCUUCAUGUGCUAUAUAGCUCAUAGAUAUUUGGAUCCGAAAGUCCCAAAAUAAACUGGCCAAAAAUUUUCAUGGAUGUCCGUUUAGACCUUAGAAAUGGAAUCAGUUCGUCCCGCAGUGAAAAUGGUGCAUUUUAAAGUUCAAAUGAGCCUAAAGCAGGCACAGGUAGAUUUUAUCAAUUUUCGUAUGCUAUUGCCCAUGAAUUUUUUUUUUGGAAACCUCAAAACAAAAUUGCUAAAAUUUUUCGUGGAUAUCGUUAAGACCUUAGAAAUUGAUGCAGUUUGUCCCAUGGGGAAAAUUAUGCAUUUCAACGUUUAAAAGAGCCUAAAGUAGGGAAAGAGAGAUUUGUACCUAUUUUUUUGUUCUAUGUCCAUGUGUGUUUUUUGGUUCGGAAAAUUUUAAAGGACGUCUCUUAAGACCUUAGAGACGAAACCAAUUCAUUAAGCGGGGGAAAAGGUGCAUUUCCAAGUUCAUACGAGCCCCAAAGAAGGCAAAAACAGAUUUUACCAAUUUUUGUGUGAUAUAACCUUUUUGGGGGGCUUGUUUGACCUUGAAAAUGAGUCAUUUUAGACGUCAGGGCCAAUUGGAACCAUAACUAAUAUCUUAAAAACGUCCAAAAAGAUUAGACAAAAACAAUAUCGGAUAUCCUAAUUAGUAAAAAUCCAUAUACUAUCAUACACGAAAAUCGAUAAUGUGUUAUUUACAUAUAUCGGGGAUCAUUUGACCAUGAAAAUGGAUCGUUUUGGUUGUCACAGACAACUUGCUCCAUAGAUAACGUCUUAACGGGUGUCCAUGGAAAGUUUGAGUGUAACAGACGUUGGAAUUCUUUAUCGCCAAAAAUCCAUGGACUAUAGCCCAUGAAAAUGGAUAAAAUAGGGGGUUUGCGUGCUCCAGUGCUCGUUUGACCUUCAAAAUGAGCCGUUUUGGCAGAAAGGAACAACUGGCUUCAUACAUAACGUCUUAGCAAAUGUCCACAAAAAAUUUGAUCAAAAAAGACAUCAAAAUUCUGGAUCACCAAAAAUCCAUGGACAUAGUACAUAAAAUCGGUAAUAUGGGUUACCAUCUCCGAGGCUCGUUUGACAUUGAAAUUGGUCGUUUUGGCUGUUAGUGACAACGUGCUUCAUAGCUUACGUCUUAAUGGACGUCCAUGAAAAAUUUGAGCAAAAUAGACGUCAGAAUUCUGGAUCGCCAAAAAUCCAAGGACUAGAGUAUAUUAAAAUUGACAAAAUGUAGGGUAUACCUGCCUAGGGGCUUGUUUGACCUUUAUAAUAAGUUGUUUUGGCCGCCAGGGACAACAAGCUCCAUCGCUGACGUCUUAAUGGUUGUCCACAAUAAAUUUGGGCGAAAAUGAUGAAAAACUUCUGGAUCACCAAAAAAGAUUGUAGAAGGUAACAAACCAAAAUUGGAAAAAUGAGGGUUUACCUAUUUCGGGGCUCAUUUGAACUUUAAAAUGGGUCGUUUUGACCGUCAUGACUAACUAGCUCCAUUAAUAAUGCCUUACAAAAGGUUCGUUUUGGUCGUCAGGGAAAAAUGACUCGAUAGCUAACGUCUUAACGUCGUCGCAAUUUCGGAUCACCAAAAGUUCAUGGACUCUAGCACACGAAAAUAAGCAAAACAGGGGGUUUACCUGCUCCAGGGCUCGUUAGUAUUUCAAAAUGGGCCGUUUUGACCGUCAAGGACAACUCUCUCCACAGCUAACAUCUUAACGGAUGUCAACAAAAAAUUUGGGCAAAAAAUACUUAGGAAUUUUAGAUCACCAAAAUUUUUGUGCACUAAGGCAAACAAAAAUCGGCAAAAUGAGGGGUUUACCUGCUGCGGGCUCAUUUGACGUUUAAUAUGGGUCGUUUUGACCGUCAGAACGAAGUUUUUCCAUGGAUGACGUCUUAAUGGAAGUCCACCAAAAACUUGGGGAAAAAAACGUCAAAAUUCUGAAUCUCAAAUAAUCUAUGGAUUAUAGUACAUAAAAUUGGUAAAAUGAGGUGUACCUGCUUCGGGGUUCGUUUGACCGUGAAAUUGGAUCGUUUUGGCUAUCAAUGUAACCUGGAUCUAUAGUUAAAGUCUUACCAGACAUUAACAAAAAAUUUGAGCAAAAAUGAUGUUGAAAUUCUAGAUCACCAAAAAUCCAUAGAUUAUAUCACAAGAAAAUUGGCAAAAAAGGGAUUUACCUGCUCUAGGCCUUUAUUGAACGUCAAAAUGGAUCAUUUUGACCCUCAUGGCAAACUGGAUUCGUAAAUAACGUCUUAAAGAACAUCCAGAAAAACUUUUGACAAAAAGAAUGUAAGAAUUUCGAAUCACCAAAAAUCCAUGGAAUCUAUCAGUACACGAAAAUUAGCAAAAUGGGAUUUACUCGAUUCGGGGCUAGUUUGACCUUGAAAAUGAGACGUUUUGACCGUCAGGGAAACCUGGCUCCACAAGUAGCAUCUUUACAAACGUCCACGAAAAAUCAUAGAGAAAAAGAUGUCAGAAUUCUCAAUCACUAAAAAUAUACAGACUAUAGGUCACAAAAAAUGGUAAAAUGGGGGAUUUACCUGCUACAAGGCUAUUUUGCCGUCAAGGCCAACUGGAUCGUGGACUAAAGCAAAUGAAAAUCAGCAAAAUGAAGGGUUUACCUUCUUCGGGGCUCGUUUGACCUUCAAAAUGGAUCGUUUUGGUAGUCAAGGCCAACUGGCUCAAGAUAUAAUAUCUUUAAGGACGUCUACAAAAAAUUUGGGCAAAAAGGACUUCGGAAUUCCGGAUAGCCAAAAAUCCAAUGGACUAUGGUACACGAAAAUUGGCAAAAUGGGAUUUACCUGCUCCGUCGCUCGUUUGACCUUGAAAAUGGAUAGUUUUAGCUGUCAGGGGCAACUGGGUCCAUAGCUAACAUUUUAACGGACGUCCAUAAUGUAUAAGAAAAAAAGAUGUCAGAAAUCUAGAUAACAAAAAUCCAUGUAAUAUUGGCAAAAUUAGGGAUUUACCUGCUUUGGGGCUCAUUUGACCUUCACAAUGGGUCGUUUUGGCCGUUAAGGCCCACUAGAUCCAUACCUAACGUAUUAACGGACAUUCACAAAAAAAUUGGGUAAAUAAAAUGUUCGAAAUUCUAGAUCACCAAAAAAUAUCGUGUACUAUAGCAAACAAAAAUCAACAAAAUUAAGGGUCAACAUGAUCUAGUGCUCGUAAAACCUUCAAAAUGGGACAUUUUAGCUGUCAGUUUCAACUAACUCCAAAUAUAACGUCGUAACGGAUGUCCACAAAAAUUUUGGGCAAAACAGACAUCACAAUUCUGGAUCACCAAAAAUCCAUAGGCAAAAUGAGAUUUACCUACUUCGGGGCAUUUGACCUUGAAAAUGGGUCAUUUUCGACAUCAAGGCCAAUUGGCUGCUUUGUUAACGUCAUAACAUAUGUCAAAAAAAUGGAGCCAAAAAGACGUUGAAAUUCUAGAUCAUUUAAAAUCCAUGGACUAGCAUAGGAAAAUGGCAAAAUGGGAUGUUUACAUACUCAGAGGCUCGUUUGACCUUCAAAUGGGUCAUUUUGGCCGUCAAGGAUAGUUAGCUCCAUAUCUAACGUCUUAAUAGACAUUCACAAAAAUAUAUGGCAUCAAAGACCUCGAAAUUCUGGGUCAACAAAAAAGAAUGUGGACUAUAGCAAACUAAAAUCGGCAAAUGAUGGGUUUACCUGCACUGGGGUUCGUUUGACCUUCAAAAUGGGUCGAUUUGACCAUCAGGGCCAAUUGACUCCAUUAAUAACGUCUUAAUGGACAUCCACAAAAAAUUAGGCAAAAAAGACGAAGGAAUUCUUGAUCACCAAAAAUUCAUGGACUAUAGUACAUGAAAAUUAUCAAAAUGGGGUUUACCAACUUUCGGGGCUCCUUUGACCUAAAAAAGGGGUCGUUUUGGACGUCAGGGCCAACUGACCCAAUACCAAACCUGUUAGCAGACAUCCAUGAAAUAGACCACGAAAAUCAACAAAAUGGGGGGUCUACCUAUUCUGGGCUUGUUUGCCCUUCAAAAUGGGAAAUUUGUCUGUCAGGGCCAACUUGCUUCAUAUAUAACAUCUUAAAGGACAUCCAAAAAAUAUUUUGUCAAAAAAGAAGUAACAUUUCCAAAUCACCAAAAAUCCAUGAACUAUAGUACACAAAAAUUGGCAAAUUUGUUUUGGCGGUAAAGGUCAAUUAGCUCCAUAGCUAACGUCCUAACGGGUGUCCAAAUAAAAAUUUGAGCAAAAAAGACGUCAAGUUUCUGAAUCACCAAAAAUUCAAGGGCUAUAACACACAAAAAUUGGCAAAAUGAGGGAUUUACCUUCUCCGGUGCUCGUUUGACCUUCAAAAUGGACCUUUUUGGCCGUCAAGCCAACUGGAUCCAUAACUGAUGUCUUAACGGACGUCCAUGAAAAAAUCAAGCAAAGUAAGGAGUUUACCUACAUUGGAACUCAUUUAACCUUCAAAAUGGGCCAUUUUGGCCAUCAGAGCAAAUUGACUCCAAAUCUUAUGUCUAAACGGACGUCCACAAAAACUUUGGACAAAAAAGACGUCAGAAUUCCAGGUGACCAAAAAUCUAUGGACUAUUGUAUACAAAAAUCAGUAAAAGAGGGUUUACCUGCUUCGGGGCUUGUUUGACUUUAAAAAUGGGUUGUUUUGGUCUUCAGAGCCAACUAGCUCCAUAGCUAAUUUUAGAGGUGUACAAGCCGAACCGACGAACCAAAUCAAAUCGAAAAAAAACUGACUUGUGGUUUGGUUUGAUUGGUCUGGCGAUUGAAAAAAAAAUCGACCAUUAUUGAUUUGGUUUGGUAUUAGAAAAAAAAAUCAAACCAAACUCAAACCAAACCGACACACAUAUAUAUAUACAUAAUUUAUUUCAUUUAUAGAUAAAAAUAUUAAUUACUUAUAAUCUACUUUGGCGAUAUAUUUUUAGUAAGUUUAUGAUUUUCAAUUUUAUAUAUUUUAUUUCAAAUUUAGAUUUGUAAAAUUUUGUGUGUGUAUAUAUAUAUAUAUAUGUAUGUAUAUAUAACUUUAUUUGUAACGAAAAACUAUUAUUUAUAAUCUACUUUGUUAAUAUAUUUUAAGUUAGUUUAUAAUUUUCAAUAUUUAUUUACUUUAUUUCAAAUUUAGGCUUGUAAAAAUUGAAAAUAUUUUAUUUUGUGUAAAGAUCUGAAGUUAUAAUUAUAUUGUUAUAGUUUUUUGAAUUAUAUAUAUAUAUAUAUAUAUAUAUAUAUAUAUAUAUAUAUAUAUAUAUAACUAUAUUUGUAAUGAAAAACUAUUAUUUAUAAUCUACUUUGUUAAUAUAUUUUAAGUUAGUUUAUAAUUUUCAAUAUUUAUUUAUUUUAUUUCAAAUUUAGGCUUGUAAAAAUUGUAAAUAUUUUAUUUUGUGUAAAGAUCCGAAGUUAUAAUUAUAUUGUUAUAUUUUUUCAAAUUCGAAGUUAACAAUUUACUUUGUAAAUAUUUUUUUGUAAUCAAUUUGUUUUUAGCCUUUAAUCUUAUUAGUUUAGCAUAAUGAACGUUGAUAUUUCAAAAAAAAAUAUUUUUUACUCAUCUGAACGAAAAUUUCUAUUCACUUAACAUUUUUUAAGUUUAGUUUAUCACAUAGGUAAGUGAAAAAAUGUUUAUAGCUUUUUUAAAUAUGGUAUAGUUGUAAAAAAUUGAAAAAACCGAAAAAUCAAAAAAACCCUGAGAGAACCGACUAAAACUGAAAUCGACAAAACCGACUUUAUAUGGUUUGAUUUGGUUUUUAGAUUUGAUAAACAUAUAUAAUUAGUUUAGAUUUGUUAAAAUAAAAAACAAACUAAACCAACCUAUGUACGCCCCUAGCUAACGUUUUAGUAGAUGUUCAUGAAAAAUUUAAGCAAAAAUAACGUCGAAUUCUGGAUUACGAAAAAUCCAUGGACUACAGCACACCAAAAUUGGCAAACUGGGGUUUACCUUCUCAAGGGCUCGUUUGACCUUAAAAAUGGUUCGUUUUGUUCGUCAGGGCCAAAAAAUUCUAUAGCUAACAUCUUACUGACGUUGACAAAAAAGCUUUGAAAAAAAAGACGUCGGAUUCUGGAUCAUAAAAAAGGAUCGUGGACUAAAGCAAACAAAAAAUCGGCAAAAUGAUGGGUUUACCUACAUUGUGACUCGUUUGACCUUUAAAAUGGGCCAUUUUUGCCUUCAGGGCAAAUUGACUCCAUAGAUAACGUCUUAAUGGACUGCCACAAAAAAUUGGACAAAAAAGACAGCAGAAUUCCAAAUCACCAAAAAUUUAUGGACUAUAGUACACAAAAAUCGAUAAAAGAGGGGUUACCUAUUUCAGGGCUUGUUUGACCUUGAAAAUGGGUCGUUUUGAUCGUCAAAGCCAACUAGUUCCAUAACUAACGUCUUAGCAGACAUUCAGGAAAAAUUUGAGCAAAAAAAACGUUGGAAUUUUGGAUUACCAAAUAUCUAUGGACUAUAGCACACGAAAAUUAAUAAAGUGAGGGAUUUGCCUUCUUUGGGGCUCGUUUUACCUUUAAAAUGGAUCAUUUUAGCCGUCAAGUCCAAGUGGGUCCAUAUAUAAAAUCUUAAGGUAUGUCAACAAAAAGAUUAAAAAAAAGACGUCGAAAUUCUGGAUCACCAAAAAAAUUGUGAACUAUAAUAACAUUAAAAUCGGUAAAAUGAGGGAUUUACGUGCUUCUAGGCUUCUUUGUACUUUAAAAUUGCUCGUUUUGGGUGUCGAGGCCAAUUGAAUCUAUAGAUAACGUCUUAACGAACGUCCACAAAAAAUUUGUGCAAAAAAGACGUUGGAAAUCUAAAUCAACAAAAUGGGGUCUACUUACAACGGGGAUUGUUUGACCAUGAAAAUGAGUCUUUAUGGCCAUCAAGGCAAAUUAGGUCCCCUAGAUAAAGUCUUAACUGAAGUCCACAAAAAAUAAGCAAAAAAGACAUUGUAAUUCUGGAUCACCAUAAAUCCAUGGACUAUAGGACACGAAAAUCAGCAAAAUAGGGGUUUACCUGCUCUGGAGUAAAUUUAACCUUCAAAAUAGGCCGUUUUGGCCAUCAGGGACAACUAAUGUCAUAAAUAACAUCUUAAAAGACGUCCACAAGAAAAUUUGGGCAAAAAAGACGUCGAAAUUUUGGAUCACCAAAAACGUUUGUGGACUAUAACAAACAAAAUCGGCAAAAUUAGGAGUUUACCUACUCUGGGACUUGUUUGACCUUAAAAAUGGGAUGUUAUGGCCGUCAGUGCCAGCUGGUUCCAUAGCUAACGUCUAAAGGACGUCCACAACAAAAUUGGAGAUAAAAAAAUAUCAGAAUUAUGGAUCACCAAAAAAGAUCAUGGACUAUAGCAAACGAAAAUUGGUAAAAUGAGGGGUUUACCAUCUUUGUGACUCGUUUGAUCCUCAAAAUGAGUCGUUUUAGUCGUCUGGACCAACUAACUCCAUAGAUAACGUCUUAACGGACGUGCACAAAAAAAUUGGGCAAAAGUGACAUCGAAAUUGUGGGUGACCAAAAAUCCAUGGGCUAAAGUACACGAAAACCGAAAAAUGGUCGUUUUGGACGUUAAGGCCAACUGGCUCCAUAACUAAAGUCUUAACGGAAGUCCAAAAAAAUUGAACAAAAAAAAACGUCGUAAUUUUGGAUCACCAAAAAUUUGUGGACUAUAACACACGGAAAUUGGCAAAAUAAAGGGUUUAUGUGCUCGGUGGUUCGUUUGACCUUCAAAAUGGGUUGUUUUGGUUGUCAAUGUCUACUAGUUCAGUAAGUACAUAUUAAAAGACGUCCACAAAAAUUUCAGCAAAAAAGUCGGAAUUUUGGAUCAUUAAAAAAGAUCGUGGACCAUAGCAAAUGAAUAUCAGCAAAAUGACGGGUUACCUGCUCCAGCGCUUGUUUGACCUAUAAAAUAGGUUGUUUUGGCCGUCAGGGCCAACUCUCUCCAUAGAUAAUGCUUUAACGAGCGGCCACAAAAUAUUUGGGCAAAAAAUGCUUCAAAAUUCUAGAUCACUAAAAAAGAUCAUGGACCAUAGCACACGAAAAUCAGCAAAAUAAGGGGGUUAACUGCUCCAGGCUCGUUUGACCUUCAAAAUGGGUCAUUUUGGCCGUCAGGGCCAACUGACUCAGAUAAUAUCUUAACAGACGUCCACAAAAAUUAGGCAAAAAAGACGUUAGAAUUCUUGAUCACCAAAAUCCAUGGACUAUAGUACACGAAAAUCAAUAAAAUGGGGUUUUACCUGAUUCAGGGCUCUUUUGACAUUGAAAAUGGAAUGUUUUUGGCCGUUAGGGCUAACUAGAUCCAUAGCAAAUGUCUUAACAGACGUCCACAAAAAAAUUGAGCAAAAAAGACGUCAGAAUUUUGGAUCACCAAAAAUCUAUGGACUAUAUAGCACACGAAAAUCAACAAAAUGGAGGUUUACCUCCUUCGGGGCUUGUUUGACCUUCAUAGAAGGCCGUUUUGACAGUCAGAGUCAUUUGAAUCCAUAGGUAACGUCUUAAGGACAUCCACAAAAAAGUUGGGCAAACCAAAUCGUGGACUAUAGCAAACGAAAUUUGGCAAAAUAAGGGGUUUACCUGCUCCAAAACUCGUUUUACCUUCAAAAUGGAAUAUUUUGACGGUCAAGGCACACUGUCUCCAUAUAUAACGUCUUAAUGGACAUCCACAAAAAAUUGGGUAAAAAAGACGUCAAAAUUCUGGAUCACCAAAAAUCCAUGAAUUAUAGCACACAAAAAUUGGCAAAAUGGGGGGGGGGGGUUUACCUGCUUUAGAUCUUGUUUGUCCUUAAAAUGAGUUAUUUUGGCCUUCAGGACGAACAAGCUCCAUAUCCAACGUCUUAACGGACGUCCACAUAAAAUUUGGGCAAAAAAGACAUCGUAAUUAUAUAUCAACAAAAAAGAUUGUGGACUAUAGCAAACGAAAAUAAAAAAAAAGAGGGAUUUACCUGCUCUGGGGCUCGUUUGACCUUCAAAAUGGAUCGUUUUAGCCAUCAGGGCACACUGGCUGUCACGACCCAAGAACACCUCUUAACAAGGUGUGUACAACCUCGAAGAGUUCUUAUACAAGCCCUUAACAUAUCAUGAACAUUAAAACAUAUGAAAAUAGCAGAAAAUUUAAAACUUUUGUUUAACAAUCUAUGUCUCUUAUAUAUAAAAGAGUAUCUAUGACACUAUGUCUCAAACCAUCUAUAACAUAGAAUUUCAUUAGACUUAAAUCACUUUAGUACAACUUAGGGAACAACCCAUACAAAAGUCUAAAGACAUAAAAUGAAGACAUAACCAGACAAGGUAGGUUAAUCCUCGAAACUUUGAGGACUCCCUAAGUCUUCAUCUAAGAUCUCUUUAGAUACCUAUCUUCCAAGUAUGAGACACCACAUCUCCAAACCCUACACUUUUUAGAAAAUGUAGAAAGAAGGGGUUAGCACGAAAACAUACUAAGUAUGGAAGCCAUGCAUAAAAACAUUUAAAAACAUGCUUAAAAGGGACAUUUAGUUGAAACCAUGUUUUAUGCACAUUUGAAAAUAAUCUUGAAAGAGUUGGAGAAUCACAAGUCAUAAGAAACUCACAUAUAGUUCACCAAAGCACAUAUGAUAAUAACAUCACCAUAAGCAUAGUCUCUAAACAUAGUCUUAAUACAAUAUCACUCAUUCAAGAUAUAAUACUCAUACAUAGUUAAUUAUUAAGAUCAUUACAUCAUAAUAUAAUCCACAUAAGUAACCCUUGGUUGCACUUGUUCCAUGCGUAGAUAAAGUCCCAUAACCUAUCUACACUAAGUACUACUUUAGGAUCACCAUACUCAUACUUAUCAUACAUUUGUCUAAUCCAUAGUUCAUACACAUAGUGAAGAGGCAUUCACAAACAUUAGCUCAUAUCAAGGAAAGUCAAUCAUAAGGAUAAUUCAAUGGAAGCAUGCAUUACUCAUAAUCUUUGUAAUAAAAUGGAACUAAACCAUGGCUCCAUUAGAAGUCUACUUGUUCCAUGUAUGAGUGGCAUCCCAUAAUACCCCUCAUACCAAGUAGAUCUCCUAGAGGAGUCAUCAGUUACCGUUCAUGCAACACAUUCAUAUCAUAUAUCUUAGUCAUAUUUCAUAGUUAACUAUCACAAGUAAACCACCCUCAGAAUCCCUUCACAAGUUCACUUGUGCAAUGUACAUAUGAAGUCUCAUACCCCCACAUAUACUAAAAAAACCAUCAUGAAGUCAUAAGCAUAGUCACAUACUUCAUUAGUCAUCAUAAUAAGUAAAACCAACCAUAACAUCAUUCAUGAGUAACCAUGCAUGAAGAACUUACACCAGAACCUCUCUUAAGACCCACUUGUGCAAUGCAUAGGUAACGUCCCAUACCAUCACCUACACUAAGUAGUAUCCCUCAAGAACCUAGUUAGAAUUCAUGUUCUUAUCUUCAUUCAUAUUUUAAGCAUUUGGCAAACUUUUCCAUAACUGACAUAGACAAUGUGAGCCAUAUGGACUCCGGUGACUAUCUCUCACACCGAAAAGAGAGUGUCCUACUUGCCAAGGUUGGGCAUACAUUUAUGGUAGCAUUUAGGUGGAUCCAUUAGAUACAACUGAUGUGGGCGCAUAGUUAUGGGAUAGGGAGAGUUCUAGAAACCUUAUACUUAUUGAAGUGUGGGUUUCCAUAUCAUGAGACCAUUGGGGGAACCUCUCUUCCUUUUUGAAGAAAACCUUCUCAUUUUCAUAUCCACUCAGUGCUAAGCACAAUCCCCCCCUCCCCCCUUAUGUAGUCAUUGGUCUUUACUUUAGCAAUGGUUCAGAAAGAAUACCUUAUGGACUUAAUCCCUCAUAUAUCAUUUAGCUCAAGGGUUUCAAAAUGAGAAUGACCUUUCAUCAUAGAACCAACAUCAUGUGAGAUUGUAUCUUUCAUCUCAUAGUCAUAUAGUGUUCAUGAGAAUUACCUUCAACUCAAUAUAACUACACAUCUAUAAUCAUCUCACAACAUUCAUGUUCAUAUCAUAGUCAUAUCUUCAUGGUCAUGCACAUUUCAUGCAUAAUAGUAUGUAACGAUGUGUAUGAGAACUAGCCUUUCAAUUGACACCACAUAUACAUCAUAUUCAUGUUUAUGCAAGUGUAUGUGUGUGGAUAAUUGUCCUCAAUCAUUAUAGAUACUUCUCUUCAAAAGGGAUCACAACAUGUACAUCAUAUCCCAACUCAUGCACAAUUCACAUAUAUUGCAUUUAAGGAUCUUAGACCAUGUAGAUCAACACAUCUAAUAUUCAUUGCAAUAGACAUGAAUACAUUCAUCAUUCAAGUAGGUAGUUCAUGGAAUGUAUAGAAUCACACACUCAUAUAGGGGGUUAUGCAUCAAAAGUAAACACCUCCACCAUAAGUGGAUCAAACCAUUCAUAUAUAGAAAGUUCAACAUAUCAUACCUUCACAGAUUUCCCUUCAAAGACAAGAGUCAAGAUAAAGUAUAUCAUCUUAGAAUAGGCACUUUAGAUAGAAGAACAUCAUAAACCAACAACAUAACUAAUAUGAUCACAAUCAAGUUAGUCUAGGUCCACAAGAUUCAUCAUAAUCAAUUCAUGUCUAGGUGAUCUAAUUCUAAGGUCAUCCAUCAAGACCUAACCCUAAUCCUUAGUAAUAGAGCAUGAGAUAGAUUAAAUUCAUAGUAAAAUCACCUAAUCAAUGUAGAGAUUCUAGAUUAUCAAUCUAUACCCAUCAAUCAAUCCAGACAAGGCUUACAAUUGAGAAACAAGGGGUAGAACAUGAGUCUUUUUGGAUUUUAUUCAAAAAAUAUUAAUACCCCAUGUUUUCACCCAUAAUUGAACAUAUUUUAUCAUAAACAAUCAUAAUUUAUCAAUUAAAACGUUUUUAGAAGGUGAACCAUGCUUUGGAUGAAAACCUAGAAUUUAAAGAACUUUGAAAUCAUAGUUGAAGGGACUUCUUGGUCAUAGCUAACAAAGAAUAAAGAGUUCUCAUAAGAGUAGAAUUCCAUGAAAAUCCUUUGAAAAAACUUCCAUAUUCAAGAGUUACUUGAUCUUCUUCUAGGUCUUCAAUGGAGGUUUUUGAGAAAGAGUUCUGGAAAAACAUUGGGGGCUUUAGGUGGAUUAGUCAGAAUGACUAGUUUAGGGUUUAUUAUUAUAGGUGGUGAAAUAAACUAUUAAACGACCUAUAAUAAGCACUUAUUAAUAGCUAACCCGACCCGUAACUUCUAACUUAAAACGAAUAAUCUAAAAACUGGCAGUACUUAAAUUGUCCAUCUAUGGACCGAAGUUUGAACUAUUGUCCAUAGUUUGUUCUCGUAGUUUAAGAUUGACAGUGUGUCACUAUUUAGGGCAUAACUUUUUACUCCGAUAUCGGAACCAGGUAAACUCGGUGCCAUUGGAAAUUAAACUCAAAGAUCUCUAAUUAGACAGGUAAUGGAUUUUGAGCUAAGAGAUAUGACCUUUUGUAGUUUACCACCUAAUUUAUUAAGACUAAAUCACUAAAAACUGCUUUUAGGGGAUUUGUUUUGGGGACUGUUUUGGAAGGCUUAGAUUAGGGUCUUGCUAGCAUAUAAAGGUGAUUAAUCAACUAAGUAACCAACCCCAGUGAGUCCUUAAUUAAUUGACCAACUUGAUUCCCAAUCACCAACUUAGAACUAGAAGGUUGGAAAUUGGCAGCACCUACGCCCCUCCACCUAUGGACCGUAAUUGGAGUUACGGACCGUACUGCAUGGUCGUAGUUUGGUUCAAAGGCUCACUUUUUUGGAGCUAAACUACCCAAACUAAGUCCUAACUUACGACCUAGACCUACUGUCCAUAUAACAGUCUACUGGCCAUAGUUUGGGUCUCGUAGGUGAAGUUGUUUUUGACAGCUUUUGGCUCCAAGGUUGGGUCCUCCUCAAGGACCUCUUGGGUCCUGGUCAAGGACGUUUGGACCCUAAACAUGUUGUUAUAAGUGAAGGAGUCACUUCUACGAGUUUUCACCCUCAAACAACACUCAAAACUUCGACGAUAAGACCCUUACAACUCACUGGUUCAAAUGACUAGUUUCUAGACGUUUUAGUCGUUUCUUGACGUUUGACCUCUAAAAUCACCAAACUAACUUCAAUAGCCAUUUUUCAUAAUUUAAACAAUUUUCCAACUAUAAACUAACAUGUUGGACUCUAUUUCAACCUACUAUUUUAGUCAAGCCUUAGCUAGGUCUUACUAAUGAAAUGAGUAUAUCUAAGUAGGUUAUCUAACCUUUUUAAUAGGAUAUCUAUCCCUUUAAAUUUAAUUACAAGCUUUGAAAAUUAAAGUUAUACUUAUAAAAGCAAAAAUGUUCAAUUUUUUUUACUAUGGUAAAUAGAUCAAGUUCAUCCUUCAUUAUAUUAUUAAUUUAAAAUUAUUCUAUCAUUACCCAAAUAAUUCAAAUAUAUUUCACCUCUGUUAAGUUUUUUUUUGGGCUAAAAUGACAUUAAUAUUUGUGGAAAGAGGUCAUUCUUUGUAUAGUAGGAUAAGUUGAAGUCUCAACCAGUUAAUGACUUAAUAAAUAGCUAUAACAAACAGGUAGUUUCCUAUUGUACAUAGUUCCACACAUAUUACUUUGGUUGUAUAUAUAGGUGGAACUAUCUAAAUAGUAGUGGUUACAAAAGACUGGUAAUUUACUCCACCUUUGCUCACUCCUCCUUUGCUCAAUAGAUGAGUCAUUCAAUUCUUCUCUCUAAUGACGUCGGUUGGUGUUGAUGCUCCUAGUUGCAUUUGAGUCUCAGGAGGAGCGGAGUUUCAUUUGACUGUUGUCGCUUCUUUUGAAAUAACCUAUUAAACGAUCUAUAAUAACCACUCAUUAAUAUCUAACCCAACCCGUAACUUCUAAGUUAAAACGAAUAAUCUGAAAACUGGCAGUACUUAAAUUGUCCAUCUAUGGGCCGAAGUUUGAACUAUUGUCUGUAGUUUGUUCUCGUAGUUUAGGAUUGACAGUGCUUCACUAUUUGGGGCAUAACUUUUUACUCCGAGAUCGGAAUUAGGUAAACUCGAGAUGCCGUUGGAAAGAGAACUCAAAGAUCUCUAAUUAGAUAGGUAAUGGACCACCUAAUCCAUUUUGAGCUAAGAGAUAUGACCUUUGAAGUUUAUCACCUAAUUUGUUAAGACUAAAUCACUAAAAACUGCUUUUAGGGGAUUUGUUUUGGGGACUGUUUUGAAGGCUUAGUUUAGUGUCUUGCUAGCAUAUAAAGGUGAUUAAUCAACUAAGUAACCAAUCCCAGUGAGUCCUUAAUUAAUUGACCAACUUGAUUCCCAAUCACCAACUUAGAACUAGAAGGCUGGAAAUUGGCAGCACCUAGGCCCCUCCGCCUAUGAAUCGUAAUUGGAGUUACGGACCGUACUGCAUGGUUGUAGUUUGGUUCAAAGGUCACUUUUUGGGAGCUAAACUACCCAAACUAAGUCCCAACGUACGACCUAGACCUACUGUCCAUAUAACGAGGUUUUAACCAAACUAAGUCAUUAUAUAAAGUCAGUCAUUCACCAAAAUAAUAUGUUUUUCUAAAAUUUUACAAAACUAGUAUAAUCAUAUUCCACAGUAUCGUUUUAGGAUAUAUUUUAUUUUUCAAAAGUUGAUGGCGUCAGAUUGAUAUACGUUACUCAUAGUAACGUUUUAGGAGUAGAACGUUACUGAAAAUAACGUUUUAGGAGUAAAACGUUACUUACAGUAACGUAUAUCAACCUAAUGCUGUUAGUUUUUAAAAAAUAAAAUAUACCCUAAAAUGUUACCGUGAAAUACGUUUAUACUAGUUUUGUAAACUUGUGAAAAAUGUAUUACUUUGGUAGAUUGUUUUAUAUAAUGGCUUAGUUUGGUUAAAAAUUCCCAUAUAACAGUCUACUGGGCAUAGUUUGGGUCUCGUAGGUGAAGCUGUUUUUUACAGCUUUUGGCUCCAAGGCUGGGUCCUUCUCAAGGACCUCUUUGGUCCUCGUCAAGGACGUUUGGACCCUAAACAUGUUGUUAUAAGUGCAGGAGUCACUUCUACAAGUUUUAACCCUCAAACAACACUCAAAACUUCGACAACAGGACCAUUACAACUCACUGGUUCAAAUAACUAGUUUCCAGACGUUUUAGUCGUUUCUUGACGUUUGACCUCUAAAAUCACCAAACUAACUUCAAUAGACAUUUUUCAUAAUUUAAACAAGUUUCCAACUAUAAACUAACAUGUCAGGCUCUAUUAACCUACUAAUUUUAGUCAAGCCUUAGCUAGGUCUUACUAAUGAAAUGAGUAUAUCUAAGUAGGUUAUCUAAUCUUUAUAAUAGGACAUCUAGCCCCUUUAAAUUUAAUUAAAAGCUUUGACAAUUAAAGUUAUACUUAUAAAAGCAAAAAUGUUCAAUUUUUUUUACUAUGGUAAAUAGAUCAAUUUCAUCCUUCAUUAUUAAUUUAAAAUUAUUCUAUCAUUACCCAAAUAAUUCAAAUAUAUUUCACCUCUGUUAAGUUUUUCUUUUUUUUUUGGCUAAAUGACAUAAAUAUUUGUGGAAAGAGGUCAUGCUUUGUAUAGUAGGAUAAGUUGAAGUCUCAACCAGUUAAUGACUUAAUAAAUAGCUAUAACAAACAGGUAGUUUCCUAUUGUACAUAGUUCCACACAUAUUACUUUGGUUGUAUAUAUUGGUGGAACUAUCUAAAUAGUAGUGGUUACAAAAGACUGGUAAUUCACUCCACCUUUGCUCACUCCUUCUCUGCUCAAUAGAUAAGUCAUUCAAUUCUUCUCUCUAAUGACGUCGGUUGGUGCUGAUGCUCCUAGUUGCAUUUGAGUCUCAGGAGGAGCGGAGUUCCAUUUGACCGUUGUCGCUUCAUUUGAAAAUAUUUUUUCUUUCAUUACUACUAUAUACAAGGAAGGAUAUUCAAUUUUGUAGUCUCGUUCUUUUUAUUCAAAUUGAAAUUUGUAAAACCUUGCAUAUUUAAUAGAUUUUAAAAACUUUUUAUACGCUACUAAAAAUGAUAUUGUCAUGAAAAUAAUUUACUAAUGAUCCUACAAAGUACAUUCAGGUUUUAUUUUAUAUGAAAAUAUUGCUACACUUGUUUCAAUAAUAUAUUAGCUCAAGACUUUAUUGCAAAUAUAAACUUAAUGCACGUCACAAUCUUAGCCAAGAUAAUUUACUGAGAGACAUAGAAAUAUUUAUCAAGACAUUUUUUGAUCUUUUUACCUUCUAUUUUGUCAGACAAGGAAAUCCAUCAGUGACAUUGUUCACAAUAGUUUAAUUGAAGCCCAAAUUUGUUGAGCUCUCCUUUGCUUUGAUGCUUAUUUUCUUAAAUAUUUAAACGUCUUGUGAGGAAACAUGAUUCCAGUUCUAGCUUAUAAAGAUACAUACAGUUAUGAUUUAUCGACACACACACACUCUUCUAUGUUUUCCUCUCAAGGCAUUUUAUUUUGUGAGUAUGUUUCUCAUGUUAGAAGCCUAGCUUUGAUCUUAAUUUCAUUUAUUCUACCAAAACGUCGAGCCAAGCCUGGAGUGGAUCAUCACACAGGUUGUCUGAUGCUACAAGAGCUUAUUGUGUGCUCAAGUUAAUGGCCAUAUUGUAUUAGCAAGUGGUUUGUUAACGGACAUAUUUUUUUAUUUAGUAUUAAAACUAAAAAAGAUGCAGGUAUCUAUUCAGAAGAAAUUUAUUGAAGAGCAUAAAACACAGUUUCUAGUGGUAAUUAGUUCACAUGUAUGUGUUUGGCAGUUUUGAUCUUGCUAACGUUAAACAUGACAUGUUUUUCCUUGCAAAGAAAAUCUUAAACGAGUGAAAGAGACCCUGAAGUUUCAAAGUGGCUGUUAAAGUUGGGCCAUCUAUUGGGAUAUCAUUAGUUUUUCAUAUUCCAAUUGAAUAUUCUCGGAACCUUGAUGUGCUAGACAUUAUUGUCUUUAUGAAAAUAUUACAAAAUGUACUGAAUUACUGAUGCUGUUUUUUUUAAAAAACUUUGGCAGUGACUCCCAUCUCCGAUGUUAUAAGAGUUCGUACUGGUAAGUAGAAUGUUUUGCCGAAUGAUACUCCAUUUGUAUGUAUAAGUUAGACAGUCUCCGUAGGUUGAUUUAUCAUUUAAAUUUCAUAUCCUUCAUAGAGGUUUGAACUUGUCCCUUGUAAUGAUUCUACGGUACGCUGGAACAGGUGAACGGGGAGAAAAGGCAGAGAGGAUGAUGGGAGGGCAUGCUGAUAUGUCCUCUGCAUUAUCAACUUCUUGAGCGGCAACGCCUCUAUCUUGAAGUUGAAACGUUUAAUCAUCUUUAGUUGUGUGCAGUCAAGUAGGGAAUAAAAUAAAUAUGUUGGAGACUUACCAUGUACCUGUGGUUUCAGUAGCCAAUUUCCAUAAAAAUCGUAGCUUAACAGCCAUUUCGUAUUUGCACACUUCAGCUUAAUCGUGGUAACUUUGCCCCCUCCCCCGUUUUGGGUUAAGUUGUGCUG
rnacentral:lncRNA from 1 species